AACAGGUUACAGAUACAAAGGUAACCUUGAAGAGACUCCACGCAGGUUACCCUGCCCUGAGCUUCCAGGAUGCUGAUGUUGUUUACAUCAUGCAAACACCUGCCUCCGAUGAGGACAAGGCAGUGAUGAUUGCAGUUGAUAUGAAGAACAAGACUAUAAAAGAUGUGGCUUAUUUUGGCUCUGGAAGGUAUAUUGGUUACCAUCACACCUACCUUCAAAGUGGGAUCUCCAAAUAUAUGGACAUUUGGUCCUCCUCCAGGUAAUUUUUUUUGUGUUCUCUGUUUUGGGCCAACAUAGUGCAUACAAACUAAGACUAAAAUGUAGGUUUGUUAUCUGGCAGGACCAUUUAUGUUUUAUCGAUUAUGUUGUGCUUCUAACAUCACAGUAUAAUGUGUUAUAUCGUUCAUUUUGAUUCCGGUUUUCAUUAGUAGUCAUUAUUUAUUCACAUUAAUUAUGUUAUGCAGUAGCAUCUUGGUAUAAUGUGUUAUAACGUUCAUUUUGAUUCUGGUUUUCAUUAUUAGUCAUUAUUUAUUCAUGGUUUUCAUUAUUAGUCAUUAUUUAUUCAAAUAUGUGCUCAUAGUAUUCUUUAGAUCUGCCUGUUCUAUUGUUCCCAACAAACUAUUUGCCUCGUGAUUGUUAAUAUUUUACCUCCAUUGAUAAAUCUUCUAUCCUUUACAUUUACAUCUGCAAAACUAGCACUUCUUCCCCCCACCCUCCCACCCCUGCAUCUACAUUCCGUAAUUUCUUUUUGACGACGUAUAAAGGAAUGCUUCAUUUCAUCAUCCAAAGAAGUCUAUCUCCACUAUAAUUCAUUGUUUGCUAUAAUAUGGAGUAAAACCCUUCUCUCGGAAGUUUUUUCUUAACUGCUUACAGCGACCCUUCUCCCAGAAGUUUUUCUUCUUAUAAAUUGCUUAUAGCGUGUUGUAUCUGAAUGAUGAUAUGGUUCAGCAGUUUGUUCAUGGGUACCAAAUAUCUAUUAUCCUAUCUCAUAGCCAGGAUUCAUCUUUCAUGUGUUGCAUCUGGCACGCCAUUCUCCAUGUUGUGUAACUCACCCUUAUUGGUCAUUGUUAACAUGUUCCAAAAUGUGCACAACUAUGCAUGUAUACUACAUAUUUUUUAUUUGCCUUUUAGUUUUAUGUAUUUUUUCAUCAGAUAUGAUUUCCAUUAAACACAAUAAACACUAUAUUGGUAUAAUGGCUGUCAAACCCUGUAAUUUUAAUUUUUGACCACGGCUAAGGAGCCAAAUAAUUCUUGUAGUUGGCUUAUUUCUCAGUUCUACAUACCAUUUGUCGGGGGGAUGACCCCGGGUAGGGUCAUAGCGACACAACCCUAGCUGGGAUAACGAAGGCAAAGCCGGCAUAACUACCUAUGCCGGCAUCGUAAAAUUAAACUAGGCGUAUGCCGGCAUGGUUAUCUUGUCUUAUGAGAUUGCAAGAUAAGGACGAGCACUUUGAUCUCAGACAAUAGCCGAGAUCCCUCAACGGUCUUAUCCUGACCGUGCGGUGCAAAGUAAAGCAUCGCCAUCCUCGUCUCAGAAAAGCAGUCAGCGCCUGUGUACCGAUGUCAGGUGAGCACGCUAAAGAAGCACCGAAAGAGAAUCUAUGACGGAAGCUGGCAGAGGAUAGCUGUACCCGUUGCAGGCUGGCAGGGAAAAGUAAAGUUGUCUUGUCCCCUACGGUACUGCCUGGAGGGAACCGAGCCGCGUGCCCCGCGGGGCCCAAGGCAGAUGACGUUAGACUCGGCCCACAUGUCAAUGUGACAUGGGCGGCCUAUAAAUAGAACUUUACCCCUCUGUAGAAGGGGAGGAGCACUUAGGUGUCUAGGGUUUUCCCCUUCUUCUUCUUCUUCCUCAAGAAUACAGCUCAAGGAACGCCAUUGUAGAGCUUGCCUAUCUCGGCUAAUACGAGAAAGCAGGAGUAGGAGUCUUACCUCGACUAGAGGGCUCCGAACCUGGGUAAAUUUGUGUGUGCUUGUGUGUUUUGUGCGUGUUUCCCUUCGCGUCCUCCCUCCUCCGAUUCCUCCAUCGUCCAUCGGCCCCAAGUUAAGCCAUCCUAUGGCAUCUGCCGUGACACCACCACGACACCAUUUCUCAGUUGUCCAAUUGCCAUUCUGGAUUAUUGCCAGAAAUGCGAGAAUGUGCACCAAUGAAGCCAUGUUUUCCUUUGGUUCAUGGGCAUGCUUGCUGCUUUUGCUGUUUAGUUUUCAUCUGUUUUCAUUGAAAACCUAAAUUAUUUCCCUAACACAGAAUAAGCAAAAGACAAGCUAGUUUGCCUAGUCUAGAGUUGGUCACCCUGACUAAAGAUCCGAAGGAGUCUAUGCUGGCUCCUCUAUCACAAAAAAUGACAAUACGACAAAGUACCAUUUUCAAGUUCCUGACAAAUACUACUCACUCAGAAAAAUAGUGCGAUGUUAAUGCUACUGUCAUGAAGCAGAACAGUUGUUUGACAUCUGUUUUUCAAUGGAAUUACACUUGUGGGUCUUUUACUUGUGUAACUUCUAUGAGUAGAUAGAUACUUAUAAUCUAAUCAUUUUUUGCCCAGCAAGGCAUUUCUUAACUAAGAUGCACUCUUGUACUGGAAACAGAUCUUGGGAGAAAGCUGAUGCAACAAGCGAGGACCAUCUAUCAAGCUAAAUUUUGGGACCAUCCAUCAUGCUAGAAGCAGCCUAACUCUGAACUUGGAAGCAACAAGACAUGACCGUCAAGCACAAAAGACACUUGUUAGCAUGGUGGGUGACUAAAUUGGUCUGCAAAUAAAGCAUUCUCCCUACUUGGUCUGCAAGCCUCACCCGAGAUGUCUAUGCGGUGUUGCAUUAUUGGACUUGUAUUAACUUAGCUUGCAUUGUGUCAACUAUUUUAUUCAGACUAUAUUGGACUUGUAUUGGUCGUCGAGUACCAUGUCGUAUGCUAGCUAUGUGAGGACUGUUAUUUUGUGGAUGAAUGGCCAUUGUUAUAUGUUCAGGAUUUAAGGAGGGUCCCUGCAGAUCCCUCCCAGCCUCUCUUUGGGUGUGUGGAGAAAAUUGAAUAUUUUUACCUUUCUAGUGUCUCUUUGGUUGUCGUGCUGGUGUCAUAGGAUGGUUUAAGUUAGGGAUGAUGGAGGAUCCGGAGGAAGGAGGACGUAAUGUAAACUACACACGAAGUAACUACCACACUGAGGUUUACCUAGGUUGGUUUGGACACCUCGUGAGGAGGAAGAUCCUGCUCCUGCCUCGAUUUGUAUUGUAAUAAGGUUAUAAUAGUGCUCCUUGAGGUGUAUCGAAAGGAGGAAGGGAGAUGAUUCUAGGGUUUCCUCUACUUGCCUCCCAGAGAGUUCAACAAUUCUACAAGGCUUGGGCUUCUAUUUAUAACCUAAGGUGUCUCCCCGACAAGUGGGUCACCCUGCUACUGUUGCCAUGUGGUUUAAUGCCCCCGAAGAGGACCGUAAGGAAGGGCACACACUCUACUGGAAAUAUAUCUAUUUAUCUUUUUGUUAUGCAAUCUCGCAAAGCUCCACGAUGUUGACUAACAUUUAUUGUCGUUGUACGAAAACAGGGCAAACAGGAAAAGGCAUGCAAACUCUUUUGCUAACCAAAACAGACUUAACAAAUGAAGUCACUUUGUACAAUGGUGCAAAAAAACAAGGAAAAGAUCCUACUACAUAUUCUAUGACAGAAUCAUGCUACCGUGCAUCAGCCUCACUAUGUCUGGCUUUGGAGAGAUGAGUUGCAGCCAUGAAGGAUCCACAAUAAGGGCUCCGUAGAAAACACAAAGAACUUUAGCACAUAAUGUUGUUACAAUUUUGAUUACCAACUUUAACACAAGGAAUCCAAGAUUUUAAGUCAUACACCAACUUAAUGACCUGCAAUGCUCAGAGUGCAAAAUAAUAUCCUUGUGGCAGGUUUCUCAUCAUCACUUUUAAGAUGGCUUUAUCUCCAGCUAAUCCAUCAAAUGUGCAGCUAGCAAAAGAAGCAGAUCAUGCAGUGCAUGAUCUUCUUGAUUUACAUCUCCAGCCACUCAUAGGAACUGAAUUUGACCAAAUUUUUAACAACGGUUAGCACUGCACCCAAUUCUCCUGCGAUCUGAAAGUUCAGUACCUCAUCUAAUAUUAUUAUCCAUGAAAUAUGCAUGUAAGAUGACUGCUACCAUAUAAAAAAGGCUUAAGGUACAUUCUCACAUGCCUUGUUCAGUUUUCAACGGUGAAGCUAGGAUGAAUUUCCUCUUUCAAGUCCCAAGAACAAACCCCAAAAUUAAAGUUCACUUUUUUUUUUGCAGAAAAAAAAUUAUAAGUUCACUUAGAUCUGAAGGUUGAGGAAAUCACAAAAAUCACAAGAAACAACAAAAGGAGAAAUCAAGAUGCCAAGUCUGUGCAUUUUGCAAGUAACAAGUUGCAAGGGAGAUGGAAGCCAGGCGGUGAGGAAAGAGUAGUAGAGUACAACAAGUUUCCUUUUAAUUCAAGAGUACAGCAAUUCCCCUUCAACGUGAAUUUGAGUACCCACUAUUCCAGUUAAUUAAACUGUGCCUAGUUCCUCCUAGGUAUCACUAAAUGCAUAAGCAAUUUAAAAAGAAAAAACAUGUUAUCGUUUUAAAUACUACUAUUAUAUUAUGUAAAUUGCAAAUCGUAUUAAAAGCAGAAUAACAGCUACAACAAAGAUAACUUGAAGCAUGUAUACACACAGUUUAUAAAAUUUUACCUAAACAAACAAGAGUUUUCAUGUGUAAUGACUACACAAACUGAGCAUCACUAAAAAGGAAUUGUAUGCAGAACCUUCACCCUGAAGCAGGCUAAAUUUGGAUAGACACAUAACUAUAUGGCACAAUUAUAAUACACCUGUACAUUGACCACCAAAAGAGGUGCGAGUUUGCUGGAGAUUUGAGUAUCAGGAAGUUUAACAAAUCGAGAUAUAUGAUUCGAGUUUUGUGGCGAUAAUAUACAUCAACUCCAAAUAGAUAGUAUAUAUGCUGUACAAUUUUGAGCAAGAUCAUUUUUUAUCCCUCUAUUAAGUAUAAUUGGACAAAUUACAAAUUGCUUUCCAAAAGAACUCAGCCUUGUCAAAUAAAUAUCCAUGGCAGAAAUGAACUGGUGCUAGUAUGUAUAAAAAGAAUCAACCACAUUUCGUGAAGGAUUCUCACUAACCUAUCAUACAGCCCUGCCCAUUAGAGUAUGAACGGAAGAUGAUUGAUGAUCACUUUAUGAAGAGGCCAAUUGGCUUGCUUGGGUAACCUAGUACCUAUUAAUGGACUCGAUCAGCUAAGGUAGAGUAUAACAGAUGACAAUACUAACAUAUAUUUGCAGAUAAUUUCACCUUGGGAGAGUUAAGGUCAUCUUUUUUACAUACGAAGCUCAUAGCACGACCAGGAUACGCUCCCACAAGUGUCUCUCCAAGUCCUUUCACCACUUCAGCGUAUAUCUCGGAAGAAUCUCCAGAGGACGGUUGGUAGUGUGAAUAACGAAAGCAUAGUCUGCCUUGACAUGUCUUGUACAAGAACAACCAUGGAAAGGUAGUCAUAAUCAAGCUUCACCUUGCGUGUGCUGAAGUAUGCCCUUUCAUUCCAUUCGAUGCCCAGACCUAAAAUGGGAAUUAGGUGAUUAUCAUGAUACAAUGCUAUCAUGGUCCGUAAAUCUAGCUACGAUAUGUGGGGUAAAAUGAUCUCACGGAAUGUAUGUGAACAUGUCCAAUUUAUGUAGAUAAAGCCCAGGGUCAAUCCAUGGAAGCUCUAAUGACUUCAAAGAAAAUGACCCAGCCAGAAAGAUAUAGGGUCAGGAUCCAUGACUGGUAUGAAUGGUAGGGGAACAGACCUUUUUAAUUGUCAUCCAUGCUUGCUCCCUACGCUACUCUCUUCCAUCUCCAGGCCAGGGCAUUUUGUCCUUCAGAUUCUUAACCUGUAAAGAAAAGAGAAAAAAAUAAUGUAAUAAACAAGGUUUCUAGUUGCAAUAAUAAAUGCAAACAGAAAGUAAUAUUCACUGAUGAGGAAAAAUACUUCACCAGCUUUACAUUGCAACAAGAUGUAAUUGUUUGACGGAUAAUCAAGCAUAGGGUAGCAUUAUCAAGAGAAUAAAACUAAAAGAAAAAUACUAAGACAAAGAUUGCAGGUUGGCUGUUACACUACUGGUGAUUCUUCUUACAGUAAUUUUUAUAAAUACCACUGGAUUGUACGAAUCAUGAAGACCACAUGGUGACAGUUCUAAAGGUGUUUAGCUUCUGAUCACUGACACAGCAGAAGAUAUUCCCAGCCCUAUUAACUAAUCAAUCUUGCUGUCUAUUUCUAAAAGAACUGAAAUUGCCCUUCAACAUCAAAGCAGUAGCUUCUGAUGGAGAUAAAUUUAUAAUGCACAUAUCAGGACUGGGGAAUUUGGUUCAAUCUGCAGGCAGGCCGGAGCUCUAGCAACUAGCAACGGCCCUUAAUUACCUGACGUGGGUAUUUUCCCCACCUUCAAGAAAAUCCCAGGGAAUCGGUCGGCGAUGCCUCCUCCAUGCUCCGGCCGUCACUUCCUUCAAAUUAGUCCCUGCAGCAAACGCACAGAAGCGCGCCCAUCAGCAACAAGAAAUUUUGCGCACCCAUCAGCAACACACACGGACGCACGCAGCCAGGCAGGAAAAUCAGCCCGAAUAGAGUGAAUCCCUUACCUCUCUGUGCUUCUCGUGUCCCAGACCAGCCUCCUGCCACCGGCCGAGAGAUGCAGAAACCGAUAGCUCGAGGCGCUUAUAUAGCCAGGGCGCCGCCGGAGCCGGCACCCAGCGGGGCGACGCGUAGCAGGACACCAAUUAAGCACCGAGAAGGACCCAGACAUGCCAGCACCGAGGGAAGAAGAAACGAGAAGAGAUCGAGCCACCACCCGCGAUGGAGAAGCUGCCCUAGUUGACAGCGCAGCGCACGAAGAAGAAUCCAGACGCGGGCAAGGCUAAAGCCGCCGACAGCGACGCGUCCACGACUGACAUGAGGGGCACCACCGAGCACGGGCGAGGCUACUAAAGCCGCCGGCAGCGGCUGACAAGCGGGGACAAAAUCGAUAGCGAGGCGCUGCGCGACGUCGUGGAGGAAGGAGGAACCGAGAAAUUGUUCCCCUUUGGGAUAGAUGAUUAUGCGAAUCAAAACCCUAACAGAAUCAACGCAGCAAACACACCCACAGCAACACAAAUCCAGGCCGAACCAGGUACCAGACCGCUUAACAGAACGGCUAGAAGCACCGCCGGAACCAGCAUCACACCCACUUGACGAAGACGAAUCAGCCCGCACAGGGCGACGGCGGGCGCGCUUCCUCGAAGAAGACUCGCAAUCCAUGGCCACUAAAACGCGUACAGCCAAAGGGAAAACCCAAAAAAAAACAGACGCCCUGACAAACCAGCGCAAGAAGUACAAAACAAAGAAUGGGGAAAAGAAAAUCCGCAGAACAACCCGACAGCAGAGAAGGGAAGCACAUACCUCUCAAACAGACGGAAAGACGACCAGCAAUCAACGGAGAAAGAGGCAGCACAACACAAUCAGCCACGACGGAGACAGCGCCAAACUACCAGAUCCCACCAACUCCCACCAGACGAACCUGAAUCAAGGCACCUAAGUCAGAUCCCACCAACGAUAAUGCAAGAGAACACGGAAAACACAGCCUAUCAAGCUCGCCGCCGCAAGCCGCCGCCACAAACGCAGAACCCAUUCGCCCUCAAGAGCCGGUAGGCACCAAUCAACAGACGACCCUGCAAGCCAGAAAACGGAAAGGGGGAUGGACCUCCAAUACGAACCAACAAGACGAAGAGGGAACCGGCGGAAGCACGAACCCACAGCAAGACAACCGCCGGAACCAGGAGCCACGGCCGUCGGAGCAGAAAGCGAGAACAGCGGCGAAUCGGCAGGCGAAACCCCCCAUGGAAGGAACCAGGCGAGGAUAGGAAAGACGAAGACUAACCAGACCGAAAAGGAACACAGGCAACAGCCACGUAACACCCCGCACCGACCCCGCGGACCGAAGCGCGUCGGACACGCAGGAACGACGAACCGCCACAGGCCCCCUCGCUGACAACCCAACCCCACUUCGCAAGAAGCGCACGCGGAAAGCCUCAGAGCCACGAGAGGGCGAGGAUUCUGCCCGGGCGUAGAGAUUGUAGGGAUGUCUCAUAUAAGAAGAAAUCCAACAUGUAGAGAGUGCGUGCAAGAGGAGCUAGCACAGUUUCUUGCCUGUCGGAGGCGCGGAUGGGCAGUGGACGGGCGGCGGUGUCGGCCCGUGUUUGGGGCGACUGGCGGCGGAGAUGGUUGGCGGCCAUGGAGCGACUGGCUAGGGUUUGAUUGCUUCGUGUAGCGGCGCUCUUGAACUGGCGAAGAACGUUGCUAGGGUUUGAUUGCUCGAUUGUGGCCGCAACUUAUAGCAGUUGGCCGGAGCUAAAGACGAAAGAAACUCGGAUUCUCGCUCCGCUACGCAACUAAUGAGUUUAGAUUUACGUACGCGUAAGGCGCCAGCCAGGAUGGAGUCGAUCGACCGUUGGCCCGAUCGGAAAGCGAGUGCGCGCUAUUCAAAUAAGAAAGGAACAUGGUGUUGGAAUAAUCUUGUAUCCCGAGUUGGCAUAUGUGUACGUGGUCAACUAUAUGAGUCGGGUACGUGUGCUAGAGUAGUAGUACGGUGUGUUUCAGUUAGUUUUGUUCCUGAUCGUGUCCGAGUCAGUUUAGUAUAGAUAGGAUAGUUGUUACACGGGUAAGCCGUAAGCCUGGCUCGUAAUAACAUGAGAAGAUUUUUGGAGAAAAGAAAAAAGAGAAGGCAUGACAAGUUUCUUUGGCCGAGCAAAAAAUUUAGAGUAAAAUACACCGGAGGUUCUAAUUAUUUUUUAGUCCUUAUUUUUUGAAAAUGCACGUUUAUGUCCUAAUUUUUUCGUAAGUUGUUCAGCACAGGUCCUAAAUGUGUGCCUCGUGCUCUGACCGGGUGAUGUGGCCGUGUAGGCCCACAUGUCGUCAGGUGACAAACUGGACGUAAUUUGCCCAAAAACCCUUGCCUCUUUCUCUUUUCUCACCAGCGCAAAUUUUUAUGACCGGCUAAGAGGCGGAGCCAGGCCAGGCAACAAGGGCCAUGCCCCGAGGCUUGGAAUAUUUUUUGCCUUAUGUUUUAGUAUAAGCAGCUGCUUUGGCCUGGGAUUUAUAUUAAACUGAUCACAAUGCAAAAUACAAUGUUGGCCUGGUGUUUGGUUGAAUCUUGACUCAGCCAUUGCCUGAAAAUGUGUACCGAUGUCAUGAUAUCCCAAAAUCAGUCGAAGCCCCCAAAAAUUUGGGCUAUCGCCCAUGAAAAUACAUAGAACGCGGUGAUUUUUUAACCACAAAAAAUGGCCUGACAAUGUAUACCAUGGGUCACGAUAUAUAAAAAUUGACCAAAAACUCAAAUAGUAUGGGCGCAUGGAAACAUCUGUAAUGGCUUUUUCAAGACCGCCUAAAAACGCCCGAAAAUGUGUACCUGGUUUCACGGUGUUGGAAAAUCACGAAAACCAAAAAAAAAGUGAAUCGCGAAAACGCCCAAAACUAUGAGUUUUUGUCGACCGGCCAAAAGAGGCCUGAAAUCAGUAUGUGAGUCACGUUGUCUAAAAAUGAUCAAAAACAAGAAAAAGGUGGGCUAGCCCACGAAAACGGUAAAAGCUUUUUCAUGACAGACCAAAACAAAGCUCAAAACAUGUAUGAGGGUUAAGAUAUCGGAAAAUCGGCCGGAAGACCCAAAAUACGAGAUCUAUAGCCCAUGAAAACAGAUAAAACGGUGAAUCUUUAAUGACUAGCCAAAAGCAGGUCGAAAACUUGUACCGGAUUCACAAUAUCAGAAAAUCAGCUGAAGGUGGGCUAUAACGCACGAAAACAGGCAGAAUAUGUGAUUUUUCCUGAUUGAUCAAAAAUAUGCCGAAAACAUGUACCGGGUCACGACACUAGAAAAUCGGUCGAAACACCCAAAGAAACAUGUGCUAUCGUACACGAAAGGUGCAAAACGGCGAUUUUUUUUACCCGCUAAAAACGGUAUGCAGGUCCUUAUUUCCUGUGGUUCACACUUUGCCAUUAUAACUGUGUGGUUCACACUUAGCCAUAAAUUGUGUGGUUCACACUUGGCCAUAAAUUGUGUGUGGAUAACAUAAUAACUUGGCAAACUUGAACAAGUUCUUAAACCAACCGAUACAUGAUCGAUCUCUCUGAAAUCAAUUUAAGCAAUAAUGUCUUAAACAAACUGGUACAACAUAAUCACUCUCUAGAAUCAAAUUAAUUAAACAAACUAAGUCGAACUUAUAUUAAUUAAAAGCUUGGGAAUCAUAAGCAUUAAUAGAGCUUCUAGACUCGGCGCCACAAUAGUCUUGCGCCCAUUCCACUUGACGAGGUGAGAUCAUCAAGGAAGCUACCCUUGGGAGCUUCGAUGGCCAGGCUACAACCACUACCGCAGACGUGAAUAUCCCUGUGUGCCAGCCAACAGGAAUAGCCGACAGGGAUAGCCUGACAGUCCGACAGGGAUAUUCCAAUAUGCCUGUGUGUUCACCGACAGGAAGUAUAUUCCUGUCGGCUACUCCCGUCAGCCACCGACAGGAAUAUAAUGUCGACCAUUCAGGCAUGGUCAGCUGGACAUAUUUUCCCGUCGGUGUACCACUGACAGGAAAAUGUCCGAAAAUUGAUAGGGCGAUACACACUAGCUGACAGGAAAAUGCCCGAAAACUGACAGCAAUACAGGUAAUCCAUAUAUAUUUAUACAGUACAUAUAUAAUAUUUAUACAUUCAUAUAUAUUAAGAUUGUCCACAAUAUUCCAAACAAGUUUCCGACAACCAAUUCAAGCAUCUCAAUACAUAUUGUUCACAAUAGUUCUACAUGAAUUGAGAAAGGCUAUCUUCAGAUGUACUAUAUCAGUUUGGCCUUCAACAUGGAGUCAUCAUCAAGGCAUCUCCUACAGAGAAGCAGGAGUACAUGAAUAAAUCACUCAAAUGUUAGAAAACUGAAAUAAAAAAAAAAGCUCAAAGAAGCUACCUAUAAACCAUUAAAACAAUUUAUGGAUUAAAUCAUGAAUAUAGCAAGAAAAUACAUGUACGGCAAGCAACAAGUAUUUACCCUUAAACAAGGCAAGCAAAAAAUAUUUACAGUAUUGUUACAUAUGUAGCCAUUUACAGAUAAUCAAAUUGUAAUCACAUGGAAUCCACUAAUAAGUAGCACUCACAGCAAAACAGUCUAGAGGAUCAUAUUACUUCAACUAAUUGGGUGACUGAGCUGACAUUAAACCAUCUAGAUUAUGCACUUUGUUAUGACUGCAAGAUUGUAACACGCUAAAUGCAAAAGAAUGCUAUUCAUCCUCAAAUAUAUGAGAUGAUUUUCUGCGACAGGUGAUUCAUUUCUCAUAGCUCACUAUCUUUAGCUUCCACAAAACAGUCAUGUCUGACCGAAAAAUCCUAAAAAACUUAUGGUUAACAGAUAAAGCUUGGAGCAAAGCAAGUACCUCUAAUUUACUGCAACCCACGGAUAUGUAGUAAAUCAUCUGCAAAUACAAGUGACUGAUACAUGCAUGUCUUGCUUGUUAUCUGCGUCUUAGCCUCUGCAAAAGUUAGAAAAAUGCAAAAUUGAGAUGUGGAACUUUUCCUGAUGACCAUGAUAAUAGGAGUUCAUGUGUUUGAGAAGGACUUUAUUCAACAUGUUAUCAGAAGCAAGACUCUGGUGAACAGAUAAGAAGUACUGAAUCUUUUGCCCACUCACCAUGAAGGACGGACAAUAUUCAACUCCAUCGCAGAGAGAUUUUUUAGCUGUGAGCAUGGAGGAAAAGAAGCAUAAGGUCGUGAUCUGAAAUCAAGCUUAUUAACUUAUAAACAAUGAGCCAUAUAAAGCAAAUUUUGUUGUAGUGCUAAUAGCAGCAAACAGAGCAGUAUGACAGGCUCAGACAAAAUUCAUAAUUUACCUUCACAGCAUGAGUCAGUCAUGUUUGUAAGGUCUGGUUGGCUUUGAUCUUCUUAGAUAUACGGCCAGAGAUUUUCUCCAAUCAAGUCUCAACCUUAUGGAACCUGACAUCUCUGAUGUCCUCGAUAAAAAAUCUCACCUGUGUCAAAGCUACAAGUAUGAAUUUUUAAGAAGAUCAAAGCUAACUAGACAGUUCAGGUUCCUGUCAAAAUUGUUUAUGACUUGCCAAGUAUGCAUCUGAGAUGUCAUCACAAGCACUGUACAAAAAGAAGACGGGAGAGUUAAGCUUUACGUGUUGUUUUCAAACGGAAAUUCACAGAUUCUUAUUACAGAAUAAAUGGAAUUAAAAAGCUGCUAUGUAUGCUUACUGAUCAAACAGAAGCUUAGAUAUUCCAAUAUAGUGGAAUUGUAAUGGUUGAAAUUCUCUAAGUGACUCUCUUUCUGCAUCAACACCUGUGUCAGGCGCUCUAGCAAAUAAAAGUAACAGACAGUUAAAGGACGAAAAUAAGCAGCUAAGUACCAAGAAUGUAUGAAGUAACAGGUAUAAGCAGUUUCAGUUUCACCAGAUGUUGAUAUUUAGAGAAUAAAUGAGCACUUAUUAAAAAUUUCAGAAAGAAGUGCAGCAGCUAGGUGUUUUGCCUUGUACCAGUUGUACACAUCACCAAUGGUUAAAACAAUAGAAUUCCAGAGAGGUCACUUGUGCUAGUGUGCUACAGCUAAAUCUGAUACCAAAAUGGCAACUGCUAGUACAUGAACUACAAAAUAAAGUAACAGCUGCAGAGGAAAAUUAAACCUACAUGUUUAUACAAUUAGGCAAUUGAGAUGGUCCAGCAGAUUGAGACCUAAGCACUCUCUUUGGUGCUGGAAUAGUCUCCUCUAGUGUUCUCUACAAGUAACCAGAAGAUUAAGCAUAUAUGCUAUCAGAGAUUCAGUUGGAGACAAAUAUUUAGUUCUUUGCAUCACCUAUUCUUUCAAUUAACAGAAUUAGUUUGCAGGAGAGUGAGAGAGAGAUCAAGAGAACAGAGAGAGUAAGAGAGAACCAAGAGAGGGAAAAGAGUAACGAACUGAGAUAGGGGAGGCCGGAUCCGGCGACGCUUGGGCACGAGGGCGACGGAUCCGACCAGAGAGGAGGUCGACGGCGGCAGAUCCGGCGGCGCGCGGGCUCGGGGGCGGCGGAUCCGGCCUCCCCUAUCUUGCUGGCGGCGGCCCGUGGCGGAUCCGACGAGGCGGGGGUCGUCGGUGGCGGAUCCGGGGAGGCGGCGCGAAGGCAGAGGAGAACGGGGGCGGGGGCGGCAGAGGAGAGGGGCGAUGGGACUGGCGGCGGCUCGGGGAUGGGAUCCAGGAUGGGGGAGAGCAGGGGGCGCGAUGGGGAGGCGGGGCCGGUGGAGGAGAGGAAGGGAGGCGCGAUGGGGAGGCGGGGACGGGCGGAGGCGAGGCCGGCGCCGGCGGAGGAGGGUGGAGGCGGGGCUGAUGUGGGGAGCGGUAGGAGUGAGGGAGUGAGACAGGUGAGGAGGAAAUCUAGAUUCUCACGCAUGGGCUCAGACGUGUCUGAGGCCGCGCGUGGGAUUUUGCCACGAGACAUGUUCCAGUGGGUUUAGGAAGGAAGCCGACAGGAAAACACAUAUUCCUGUGCGUGUCGUCGACAGAAAAUAUAUAUUUCUGUGCAUGUCAUCUAUACUCACAGCAAUAGAAAAUCUAAAUGAAAGAUUACACUUGUUUUAUAAAGACUGUGUAGUAUAUUAUUUCAUAUAUGUGAAUAAAUCAAACCAAUUCUUGUUAGUACAUUGAUUUAUAAUUUUUGGAAUAAUAUUUUUGUUAAUUCUUUUAUACAAUACUUCCAUUAAAUAGUUAAAAAAAUCAAAAACACAUUAUUUUGUCCGAAUGGUAUCAAAUAAAAAUUACGUUUAGUAUGUUUACAACCUUUUAUGCGAUUCUUAUGUUACACUAUAAGGCCAAAUCAUAUUGUAUCCAACGAUGAAAAAUGUGCCGAAAGUUAUUGGAUAGAAGAGAUGAACUCUAAGUUCGACUUACCUUGAACCAUUCAAGGCAAGGUAUGAUCAUAUCUUACAUUUAGUGUUCAUAUUUUGACUCCAACCUUGUUAGGGUGUAACAUGAGUUCUCGCUCGGUCUCGUCCAAUUUGGAGCUCAUUUGGUAAGUCAAAAGUUUCAAAAACAUUUUCAAUUUCUAUUCUUGUCGGUAUCCAACCCACGGGAAAAUACAUAUUCCCGUCGGCCAGAAAAAAAAUCCCGACAGGAAUAGAAGAUUUCCCUGUCAGCCCGACGAAAAUACCCAUGGGAGGAGAUUAUAUUCCUGUCGGUGUACAGUUGCCCGACAGGAAUGUAUGUUCAUCCCCGUGUGUGGACUUCAAAACCGAUAGGAAUAUAUAUUUUCCAGUGUGUUUCGAGCCGACCGACAGAAAAAUGUUUUGUUCUCCUGUGUGCCAUGUAACUCCUGACAGGGAAUACUUAUAUUCCUGUCGGGCCAUAUUCCUGUCGGCCGGCUGUGGGCCUGACAGGAAUAGAAGUCGCCCGACAUGGAUAUAUCGGUUUGUGGUAGUGUAUUGUUCCUACGCGACAGACGCCGCACAAAGAACGUAGGGUGCCCAUUGUGCUGGAAGUACAUACUGUUGUGCACGAUGGUACCCGGAGCCGACGCCGAUGCCGGCACGACCAGCACGACGAAUAGGGCACGCUUGCCAAGGUUUCUCACCGGCACGAUCUUCCUGGCUUCAGCAUCCAGCCGGAACACGUCGAACUCCACCGUGUACAGUCGUCUAGUACUAUCAUCAUCCUCCCGGCCUCCUUGUUUUUUGAAGUAGAGCCUGUUGAUGAUCUAGCAGGCGGCCGGCGCCGGCGCCGUCGUCCGUCAUGUGCACGACAGUCUCCAUGUCUAUCGCCGGCCAUGACGCGGCGCGCCGCAGCCUCCGCAGCGCAGGCUCCUCCUAGUUUAGUAGUUUAGCACCAAACUGAGUAAAACACAAAGAACCAAUUCAGGUGUUAGAAGCUCUCACGGGGCAGCUAUCAUCCUAUUAUCAUCACAGCCAUUCAUGAACAUGACAGAAAGGAAACAAUAUCUGAACUGACACCAUAUAAUCCUUGAGUCAGAAAAUGGAAGUAUAAAAUUUUCAAAAGUCAAAUAGCAAUAGAAUAACAAUAACACAUCAAUUGCAACUUACAGUUUUAGCGCCAGGCCAUCUCUCUAGUUAACAGCAAACGACUAAACCAACAUGGAGUAUUUAAGUGAAAUUGUUCGUUCAAAUAUGUAAUAUGUAACAACAGAAAUAACAGAAUAAGCACCAACAAUCAGCUGCAAAACUGGUUACUCGCUGUGGCACAAGCCCUCCUAGUGUAGCGGCAAACUGACUCGAAACCGAGUAAGAUGAUCCAUCACAGCCAAUCAAGAAAAAGGGAUGACGGAAAAGAAAGAUCAGAAGACAAAAGAAUAACUUCAGCUUGCGUAUCAGAAGACCAAAAAAUUACUACUAACAGAAAUAGUGUAAACUGUAAAGCAUAUUGUGUAGAGAGGCAAAGUAUAUUUGCAUUCAGAGGGCUCAGAUAUGCCUUUGAUUGGUCAUACGACCUAGCUUCCAGCAUCUUUUUUAACCAGAUCAACCCCACCAUUGAAGUCAAGCUGUGCUUGUUAUCACUAAUCAGAGUGACUAUCCAAGCUAGAGCCGUCGAUAUUCUGGUGUGAAUGAAAAGGUCCCAAAAGAAGGGAGUAGUUUUUUUUUAGAAUUAAGGAGCUCAGCUCCGGAUUUCAUUAAUGAAACCGCAAUAGUAUGUGUGACAUAGAGGUCCAACAGAAAGAAAAAUUACAAUAAGCUGGGCAUUAUGAACCAAUACUCCAGCAAACCAUAAAGGUUCUAAUAGAAAAUAUAAAAGGCACUGGGUCGACGACAUGCAGAUACAGGCACUUCGAUGACUUCUUUCUUUUGAAGUUGUGCAUCAGUUUGUAUCUCUCAUCGUCGCCUCCCUCCAAGCGCUAUGAGCAUUAGACACAUUAGACACGACCUUGGAUAACCUGGAUGCGCCAUUCCUGAGCUUAUCACGGUCCGCUUCCUUUUGUAGCCCAACCCAGAAAUUAACCCAGUGACAAACAGAAAACAGAAUAUUAGUAGGUUCUUUAAGUACUAAUCUCUUAAAAUAAGAAUCAUUCCGACAUCUCCAGAUGCUCCAGCAGAGGGCAGCGACACCAACAGUCACAAGCCCUCGCUGGCGCCCCCUAAACUGUAACAUCCAGACAUCCAAUAGAUCCUUAACUGAACUAGGGGUACUACCAAUACCAGAAUCUUCCAGCACACCCUAGCUACUGAGCAUUCAAAUAAAAGAUGAUCAAUAGUCUCCCGGGCACCACAAAAUUCACAAUUUGCAGAGCCUACCCAGCCCCGUUUUGCUAAAUUAUCCCUUGUCAAUAUGCUAUCCUUGCAUAUUACCCACAUAAUUUUUUUAACUUUCAAAGGAAUCUUUAUUCGCUACAACUGUAUAUAUGGUAUUCUGACCUGUUUAUCUUUAAGCAUAUUAUAAAGAGAUUUAAUAGAAAACUGCCCACUAUUAGUUAGUUUCCAAAUACAUUUAUCAUGUUCCUCAUUUAGACAGACACCUAGACACAACAUUCUCAGUUGUGUCCACAUUUCUAACUUUUCCUCACAAAAGGAUCUCCUGAAGCUAAUGCAUUGCCAUUGAGAUUUAAAGACUGCAGAAACUGAGAUGAAUUGCUUAUUAGUUGAGUUAUAAAGCCUAGGGAACUUUGAACACAGAGGAGCAUCCCCAAUCCAAUGUUCUUCCCAAAAACAAGUUCUAUCUCCAUUACCCACUUGUUUUCUACAACAAUUAAUGAAAAUAUUCUUUACUUGCAUAAGCCUUGCCAAAAGUGUGAUUGGCCUCUUUUCUGCUCAGAAGUAAAUAAAAGCUGCUUCUUAAUAUAUUUACUUCUAAUCAUAUCUUGCCAAACCCCAUCUUCAUUGAAGACAAGUUUAUUUCGUCCACGUUUGAUCGUCAUCACUAAUCACAGACAGACAGCAAAAGAAAUCAAGUGGGGGCAAUUCCUCUAAAAAGUCACUUUGCUCAUGCAACAGGUAAGGGUGUGGAUACAGAACAUCUGAAGUUCAACACAGCUUCAGUAGCUGGACAGCCGGUAGAGCUCACAGUGGUGCUAAUUGGGGACAUACCAAAUCCAGAUUCUAUAACAAAAACAAGCACGGAUCAUCAAUUGACCUCACUCUGACCUCAAAUGACUAAAGCGCCGCUUCCGAAGCCACACUAGACACUACCACCCAUUGAUUCGGAGAGCCCCACAGGACACACGCAACAGUGGAAGAUGCACGAAUGCACGGUGGAGAUCUGGAUGCAGCAGAAAGUUGAGCAACAGGUUGUCUUCAGGGUUUACAAAAUGCAUGAGGGUUAGUAUAAUUGCAUUUGGAGGGCUCAGAUUCGCCUUUCAUCGAUCAUACAACCAAAAGUACUACUUGAAUAGCUCAGAUUGACCCCACUAUUAAUCACAAAAGUUGGAAAAUGCUAUAGGUAAUAACAAGGUGCAAUACAAAUAACACUCCCUCCGAUCCAUAAAAAGCUAGUGUCGUCCAUUUUGGUUGUAUGAGGGAGUAUCUCUUUCUCUCUCCCCAUACAAACAGCACCAGCAACAAAUAGCCGCAACUGGUAACUUGCUGCAGGGCAAGGCCUCCUAGUUUAACGACCAACUGUCUAACCGGGCAACUCUGCAUGGAAGGAACCAACUUAGGAGAUGUGAAAAGAUCUCCAGCUCAUGUGUUACAAGAUCUCCAACACCAAGGGGCAAAUAAUCAUCAUAGCCAUUCGAGAACAUAACAGAACACAUCAAGGAAAGGAAACAGAUAUAAUGUGUUCUGAAGUUAUUCAAAACACUGCACUGAUGGCCGCACUAUUGGCAACCAAAGAAACGGUUGAAAUUUAUGCAGAUAUGGCAGAUCAUAACUUCGCCUCUGGAGAAGCAUGUGGCGAAGUUAACAUACCAACAAGACAACAGUGUCUUGUUAACCCCAGAAAUAGAACCGGCAAUAGCUUCAAAUAUACGAGAAAAAAAGUUACCCAAACAAAACAUGAGAGAACUAAUGUUGUUUUCCCAUGAUAUCCAUUCCGUAUCUGACCCGCUGACAACCCCUAUGUGACACUGAAUUCAAAUGGUUGCAUACAAUAUGCAAACCGUCUUAUUUGAAUGCGUCCAUUUUGCAAGUAUAAGAGAUAAACACACCAAAAAUCCUAAACCCAAAACCAAAUCAAACUUUGGAAUCUUACCUUAGUUUCUCCGCGUAUCUCUAAACGGGCCAUAUUCAUCAUUGCCAUGAUGCCAUCCAUAAAAAUAGUCAAAACAUCCGCCAAGCCUUCAUAGAAAUGGGCAGCGGCACUGGGUGGACGGUCUAUCCGAAUAAAAUAACACAUCAAAGAUCAACUGUGUGAUGUUAUUGUUACUUGAUGCAGAAUUAUGCCAAACAUACUUGAGGCCGCAUUAUGGAUUACAUGCAGCAAAAGAAUAAUGAAAUGAAAAUGUUUUGAACAAGUGGAGCACUUCAAAAGACAGAUGUAAAGGUAUCUUGAAGUUCAACCAACAGAAAUUAAAAGAAAGUUUGACUCGUUAGCUCCAAUUUCAGGAGUGGAGUGUAGUUAUUGUCAACGCUGAAGAAGCAGUUAAUAUGAAGUUGACUAUAGCUUCAAAGACGAAAAAGCAGAAAAACGUAAAAUAUACCAGCACUGGAGCACUCUUUAUAGCAAAAUAGCAUAGAAUUGAGAGGGCUCAGCUCCGCAUUGGCUUAAUCAGACAAACCCAGCCCAACUCUCUUGCUGCACAAUCUACUCAUACUAUUAGAAGUGAAGCUGCAUUGGUUAUCACUCGACAGAAUGACGUCCUAGACACAGAACCACCAAUAUGAGUAAAUAAUUGAAAUAUGCUCCAAGAAAAAGCAGGGUCAGGUAUAAUUUCACACCCACAGGUGUCACGAUUGCUCAAUAUCAUUUAGUUCAGAAAAGCUCAUCAUCGCCCACCAUCAGUAUUCCACUCUUUAAUUAAAAGCAUCUGACCGGAUCCGGCACGCUCUCACUCAUAAUGGGGUUCAAAAUAUACCAAACAGAAGCAUCAUAAAAGUGAAAUAGCAUUGAGGCUGCGUUUGGCAUUGUGGCCAGUUUUUCUAACCAACUUUUGCCUAUUUCACCAUUUGGCUAACCAAAUUUUUACCUGCUUUUGUGGCUAUUUUCCACAGCAGAUUAUAAAAUAAUUUCAACACAGCACAUUUCAGCAACCGUAAACUCAACCUGAGAGGUCUCGCUCGCCUUUGGUCCAUCAUAUAAACCCAACCAUCACAUUUCUUGUUGCGCAAUCUAAGCAGAUCUAUGCAGAUUGUCUCUCUGGCACAGAAAUACCAACAUAGAAAUGAUAGAAUAGGCUCCUAUAAACGAGAUGGUUCUAUGUGCCACAUCAGAUAAAACUGUAAGGUUCCUAGCCUUGCUACAAACCAAAUCCAAGUGAUGGAAUGGCAGCGGCUGGCGACACCUUAUAGGUGGGCAACUGACACGGCAACUACUCAGAAGAUGAGUUGGCACCAAAAUUGGCAGCAAUCUGGAUGGAAUAGAGCAUCCUUUUCAGAAAUAAUAUUUGGACCAGACUGCUCAAGGAAAAAAAAUGCUCAGAACAAAAGAACAAUCCAAGCAAGCUAGGAGUGGGUUUGUCACCAAGAGAAGACAUCAAUCUAGGUACGACCCUCACAGCAAGCGAACAGAAUAGUGAAACUGCAUUGAGUGGGCUCAGUUUUGCUUUGUCAUCAAGCCUGACCCUCACAUCUCUUGCUGCAUAGUCUACAAAACGUACCCGUAAGUGGAGCUGCGCUGGUUAUCACUCAUUGAAUGACCGUCCGAAGCAGUACAUCCAACAUUAGCGAGUGAUUGAACAGGCUGCAAGAGAUAUGAGGGUUGGCUCUGAAUUGAUAGUACCCAAAGGCCACAGCUGUCUCAAUUGCUCAAAGGCAUGCUUAUUUCAGCCACAGUUCAACAUCUCGCCCCUCGUUCGUGCGUUUCCAAAACAGGUCCAUCGCUGGGUCGUUCCACGGAGGGUCGCAUAGGAUUUUUUACCGACCAGUUACCACACCCCAACUAGGAGCACGCAUCAGACAACACUGUACGGUUCCCAGCCCUUGCCACAAGCUCCACAACCAAAUCCAAUGCAAUGCAAUAAUGGAACAGCGGUGGCUGGCGGCACCGUAGCAGUGGGCUGACGCAGCGGCCACUCGGACGAUGGUUCGGCUGGUCGGCGACGAGAGCUCGACCGAUUUGGUUUAGGGUUUGGGUUUUGGGGUGUGAACUGCGCGCGCGCAGAGAGAGGGAGAGAGGGAGAGAGAUGGGAAACGCACCGAAUCCAAAGCAAAAUGCAACGGAACUGCGAGAAAUCCAUCAACGGCGGCUCAGAUUCCGCAGUGGCCGACCAAACCCUCGACCGGAACUCGCCACGGACCCCCGCCGCUCGGUCCCCAACCCGCACCAGCCGCAGACGCCAUCGACACCGGCGGCAACCCCGAGGAGCGGAGUGGGCAGGAGGAGUGGCUCCGAGAAGCGACGAUCCGUGAGUCCGGCGCCGGGCCGGCGCCAGCGCGUGUCCCUCCCUCAUCGCCGCCGUUCUAAAACAGGGACGCGAUUUCGAUCGACACGAUCAUCGGCCACCGGCGAGUGAGGAGCCAACGGACGCCAUUCGCGGUGGCCCAACAGUCGAAGUGAUCGAAGCAAAGCUAGCUAGCGAGGGUUCUCACGGGCGGAGGACCCAGCAGGGCAAGGUAUUUUUGCCUUCUGUUACGAAUUGGGGGAGAUUAAGGAGAUGAAACGGGGAGCUAAAGGGCGGAAUCGGUUCGUGGGGUGAUGGGAGGAGAAACGGUCGGGAGCGAGAGAAUCGAAGGGGAGAUCAACCGGCGGUGGCGGCGCUUGCGCCACUGGACUACUGGAGUCCAGUGCGCGAGGAGGAAGACGAACGAGGGGCCGAGGCGCUCGGCAGCGAGAUGGGCCAGAAGGAGGACUGGAGGGGUGCGGGCGGACGUGCGGUUAGGACGAGAAAAGAGGAAAAGAAUAAAAGAGAUAUAUGGGCUCCGGCCCAGAUAUAUGGGUUUUUGUGAUCUCGUAGGCUAAAACGAGGUGGGCUUAAUUGGGAGUGACUCUUCGUCGGCGAAAAAUUGAGGACUCGACCCGCCGCCAGCUAUGUGCGAGAAGGAGUGAUUAAUCGGAUUAAUGCACGCCUGAUAUCUGCUUCAUAUCAUAUUGCAAGCAUCAGAGAAUAUGUAUAUUGCGUCUUAUCCUUCCAUGGAGAAGCAUAAUUGUAGCUGAACAAGGUACGUUCCAUAUCCGCAUCUUGUCUUCUUCUUUUUCCGGAAACAUCCGCAUCUUGUCACAUGGCUGUGUUUUCUUCAUUGAUUAUAAUCCCGAAUUUGCACUACUGCGAGUCCCAAAAGAUUUCCGUGGUACGUAUUCUUCAACUUUGGGUUCUAUAAAAAUGUAGCGCACUUAAUUGUGCAAUCCAACAAAUGGAACUAAUUCGUCUUUUGCCGACGAAAAAAAAACUUCGCUGUAGGGCGAUGGCAGACCGCAAUCCGGUUAGCAAUCCCUCGUACUCUGCAGUAUUGUUGGUGGAAUUGUCAAAAUUCAGUUGUAUCAGGAACUUGAGCUGAUCCCCGGUGGGCGACUCGAUCGGUACUCCGGCGCCAACGCCCUGCAAGUUAAAGGCGCCGUCGAAGUACACGACCCAGUUACCCUCAUCUUGGUUGCCGGGGAGGCUUGUUUCCGGCUCUUCUUGGUCGAUACCGGUGGAGGUCCACUCCGUGAUGAAAUCAGCGAGAGCGACGCUCUUGAUGCUUUUGGUAUUUGCCAAAUGUAGGUCGAACUCUGACAGCUCCACCCUCCACUCGGCAACUCUCCCAGUGAAGCCGUUGGUGAGGGCCCGCUCCAAGCAGAACCCGGACACCACCGUGAUGCGGUGCGCCUGCAGGUAAUGGCGAAUCUUCCGUGAAGCGAGCAGGAUCCCAAGCAACAGCUUCUGAACCUGCGGGUACCGCUCGCGGGCAUCGCGCAACAUUUUGCUAGAAAAGUACACCGGAUGUUGCACUAGCCGCUUGCAGGGCACAGCUUGUGCUGGCCCUCCCGUGGUCCACGGGGGCGGAACGGUUGCCGGGAGCUGCCCGGAAGGCCGGGCAGCCCCCUGCUCCGUAGCAUCACUCCCCGGGACGUCUUCUUCCCUUUCGGCGACGAGCACGGAGCUCACCACUUGGUUCGUCGCUACUAAGUGGAGUAUCAAUGGCUCGCCCUGCUUGGGCGCAACGAGGAUUGCAGCGAUCUCAGGUACCGCUUCAACUCUUGGAACACCGCUUCAGUCUCGGGGUUCCAGUUGACGGGACCCUUCUUUUUCAUUACCUUGAAGAAAGGCAGGGCGCGCUCGCCCAACCUUGAGAUGAAACGCCCGAGCGCCGCAACACAACCGUUGAGGCGCUGGACAUCUCGGACCUUGCGGGGAGCUUCCAUCCUUUCGAUCGCUUCAAUCUUCUUAGGAUUGGCUUCUAUUCCCCGGUGAGUUACCAAGAAACUCAGAAGCUGACCCGAGUCUACACCGAACGUGCAUUUCUCUGGGUUAAGCUUGAACUUGAUUCUACCAAGGUUGUCAAACGUCUCCUACAGGUCUCCAAUGAGCGAUCCGCCACGCUUGGAUUUGACGACGAUGUCGUCCAUGUAGGCCUCAAUAUUGCGGCCUAGUUGGGGUCCCAAACACUCGCGUUUAGCACGCUGAAAUGUUGAGCCCGCAUUUUUCAACUCGAAAGGUAUGCAUGUAUAACAAUAGCAGCCAAUGGGGGUGAUAAAUGAUGUCUUUUCCUCAUCGUCGACUGCCAUUUUAAUCUGAUGGUAACCAGAGAAAGCAUCCAGGAAGCACAACAAGUCACAACCUGUUGUGGAGUCUACUAUUUGAUCAAUGCGGGGUACAGGUAAAGGAUCCUUAGGGCACGCACGGUUAAGAUCAGUAAAAUCUACACACAUGCGAAGCUUAUUUUCUCCCUUAGGAACCACGACAGGGUUGGCUAACUAGGUGGGAUACAACACCUCCCUGACUGCCCCGGCAUCUUUAAGUUUGUCCACUUCUUUCCUGAUGAAAUCCUUGCGCUCUUGUGUUUGCUGGCGCACCUUCUAUUUGACUAGGCGAGCGUCAGGACGAACCGCCAACCAAUGCUCGAUCACCUCCCUAGGGACCCCAAGAAGAUCCGAUGGCUCCCAAGCGAACACGUCGGCACUCUCCCGGAGGAAGGCGAUGAGGGCGUUUUCCUAUUUAGCAUCGAGGGUCGCACCAAUGGAGACGGUGCGAGCCUCGUUACCGGCUUGCAGAGGCACCUUCUUGGCCUUGGCGCCAUCCUCCUUGAGCUUCUUGCCCUUGCUGUCCUCAGGGUAGAGUAGCAACGGCAUCGAUUACAAGACUUUCAGAAGUCAUUCCCCAUACCACGGAAGAAUCAAUUGAAUUAAUUGUUUUGCCUUACUCUAAUAAAACAUCUCAUUUCCCAUAGACAUAACAUUAUCAUAAUGUAGUAAUUUCCCCCACGAUACUUUCAUAGCCUAGCAUUCAACUACAAUUGAUGGCGAUGUCGCACCAGUGGCACCUAGGGUACCACCGUUGCACGACGGGUGGGUCGCAUCACCGAGUUCCCGGGAAGGCAUCAUCCCGGGAAGCAGUUAGCGUGCUGCCCGGGAAGCCACCAGCCCAGGAGGGCUAGCGGGGCUUCAGGGAAUAUUCCCGCCUGGCCGCCUCCCGGGAAGUCACUUCCCGGGAGGGGGGUUCCCAGGCGCAAGCUCCCGUCGUGGGGCGCGGGGCCAAGCAGGCAGAGUAGCAGCGCCACGUGGGCGUGCGUCCGGCAUCCAGUGCGCAGUUCCGCCAGGGCGAGGAGUGAAGCGCACGGCGCAUUUAAUGAGCCGACAGGAGGGAAGUUACCCGUCUAGUCAGGUGAACAGUGGCUGUCCAAUCCUACCUUUAGGGUUUUAGACCCCUAGCAGCGGAGUUGGCACCCAUGCAUGCCACCAGCGCAUCGAGGGGGAGUUGCCAUGUCUCCCCGCUCGCCACUUGUAACGCAUGCACCGUGGCACCUAUGGUAUCCCCUUGGUUAUAAAAGGAGGACCCCCACCAGCAGUCGGGGGCCGCCCCCGGGGUGGUUGCCGCUCCGACCCCGGCAGCUGCUGUUGGUGAAGUUGCCGCCGAGGCGCGAGCUGUCGCCACCGGGGUGGCCGCCGCCGUGGCCCCGGUGACCCCCACGGACGUGGGCGCUGCCGAGGUACCGGCAGACGCCCCUAGCGCGGCGGCCGCCACGAUGUUGGCGGCCGCCGCUGGGGCGGAUGUCGCCGCCGAGGCUCCGGCGACCCCUGCGGAUGUGGUCACCGCCGAGGUACCGACGGGCGCCCCUGAGGCGGCUGCCGUCGCGGGGUUGGCGGCCGCUACCGGAGCGGACUUUGCCGCUGGGGAAGAUACUGCCGCGGCUGCUGAGGAGAUAGCCGCGGCCGCUGUGUACGCCCAUGAUCUCCACACGACCAGGGGCGUGUCGUCACUGUCUUUGUCGUCAUCGUCCACGGGGACGACUUCUGGGGACCCUGCAGGCUGGCCCGCCUCGUCGUCCAGGGCCUGGAAGGAGGGCUAGCUGAUCUCCGACUCGCCCCCACUCUCCACGAGCACCUGCUUCCCGCGAGGCCCUGGCAGGGGAGCGUGGGGGGUCCGGGUGGGGGUAUCGUCCAUCAACCCCCACUCGUUGCAGGGUGGGAAGGCGCCAACGAUGUCGUUGAGCGCCGCGACGCCGGCGUGGAGGGAGAAGACUCCCGGCGGAAACUUCAUUGAUUGGAGGUUUUUGCCGGAGAUCCCCUUCACCCACACCUUGAGGGAUUCCAAAUCCACGCCGUCCUGGUGAAGGCGUGUCCUGUCCCCGGGACCCGUGUACAUCCACGCAGGCCGGGAGUGCAGUUGGAGCGGCGCGAUGCGCCGGUUGAUGAAGGUGCACGCCACGUCCUUGUCGGUGAGCCCCAUCAACCGGAGUGCCUUGAUCUUCUCCACGAUGGGGAGGAGAUCGGCAUCGCGGUGGUACCGGUCCUGCCAGCCGCUCUAGGGUUGCGGCAGCUCCGUGGGCGAGAGGAUGAACUCCUGCGGGUCUUCUACCCGGACCCAGCACCAGUCGCUUCGCCACUCCUUUUCGAUCUUCUUCUCCGACCGGACGAUGAACUCAGACUUCAUCCGGUCGCGGGCGCGGAACACCACCCCCGACGACAUCGCCCUCGCUUUUUCUAUCCGGGGGUAGAAGUAGUGGCGGAAGAGCGCCACCGACGGCAUCACCCCCACGAAUGCUUCGCAGAGGAAUUGGAAGGUGGCGAGGAGGAAGAGCGAGGUUGGGUGAAGCUGCGCCACCCGCAGCUAGUACGACUUCAUCAGUGCGUGGAGGAACAGCGAAAACGGCAGCACCGGCCCGGUGAGUAUGAAGCGCCCGAACACCCGGAAGUCGUUAUCCUGGUGCUCGGCGCCAGCAGGGAAGAUCCGAGUCUCCUUGUGCUCGUUGAACCCGGAGGUGACGGCGUGCUGGAUCUUGGCCAGCGCCUCGCCGUUGUAGCCGGGUCGGUAGAAGGCGAGCGAUGCCCUCAUCGCCCGAUUCUUUUGGUCUUUGUCGGCAGCCUUGGCGGCCGCCCCGCUCUUGCUGGCCGCCGGUGCCUUUCCCUUCCUUGUGGUGGGAGGAGCCAUGGGAAGCGGAAGCGGGGGGCUAGCAGAGCUUCUGGGCGUGAGAUGCGUAGGAGGAUGAAGGCGAAGGCUGUGGGGAGCAAGGGUGUUUGCCCCUUUUGGCAACAGUAAAAUCUUUAUAGCGCCCGGCCGUUUGGUAAAGGCCGGUUCCGUACCCUAGGGGUGCGCGGGGAUUACUCCUAAUCGAAAGGACUAGUGCGGGGAGUGGCUUUAACUUCCUUGUUUAAGGGGGGAGGUUAUUGCGGAAAUCAUGCGCCCACUACUCCGUCAGCAACGGCAAGGUGCCAGGGGCAGCGAAGAGACGCGGGCCCGAGCCGAGUCAGGACCCACGCGUUGGUUGGGGCAUAUCCCGGCAACCGGCCAGGGGAAGGACUCGCCCGGGAACAGGUGUUGCCGGCCCACGCUCGGGGGCUACUGUCGCACGAGUGGCACCCGAGGUACCACCAUUGAACGACGCGUGGGUCGCAUCACCGAGUUCCCGGGAAGGCAUCAUCCCAGGAAGCAGUUAGCGUGCUGCCCGGCAAGCCACCAGCCCAGGAGGGCUAGCGGGGCUUCGGGGAAUAUUCCCGCCUGGCCGCCUCCCGGGAAGUCACUUCCCGGGAGGGGGUUUCCCGGGCGCAGGCUCCCGUCGUGGGGCGCGGGGCCAAGCAGGCAGAGCAGCGGCGCCACGUGGGCGCGUGUCCGGCAUCCAGUGCGCAGUUCCGCCAGGGCGAGGAGUGAAGCGCACGACGCAUUUAAUGAGCCGACAGGAGGGAAGUUACCCGUCUAGUCAGGUGAACAGUGGCUGUCCAAUCCUACCUUUAGGGUUUUAGACCCCUAGCAGCGGAGUUGGCACCCAUGCAUGCCACCAGUGCACCGAGGGGGAGUUGCCAUGUCUCCCCGCUCGCCACUUGUAACGCAUCCACCGUGGCACCUGUGAUAUCCCCUUGGUUAUAAAAGGAGGACCCCCGCCAGCAGUCAAAGGGUUCCACAUAUUUUUUCUGCGGUUCGUCGAUCACACGGCUGGACGGUUCACAGUUCCACGAACACUAGGUUCAUCAGACUCACAUUUAGCCAUUAGCAGUGCCCAAAAGCAGUCAAGAGCACUUAGCUAAAAAGGGAGAACGCCCGGGGACUCUCUCCCCGGACAACUUGUAAACCUCUGAUUUGCUGCCAAUACCAGUUCAGACAAGCAGGACGUAGGGUUUUACACCUCUGGGUGGCCCGAACCUGGGUAAAAACGUGUGUGCAUGUGUUCUUAGCUUGCAUGCAUCCUGGGUACAUUACUUUGCAGGUUACGUACGCCAUCGGCCAUGCCGGCGAUCGCCGGAGCGAUCCCCGACGCCCCUGCCGAACCUAAAAGGGGGUGUGCCAGCACGCCCCCGUUGUCGGAGCCCCGUGCGACGACAGGCAAAUUGGUAGCAAUGUAAUGGCAAGGGUAAAACUAUACUACCUGGGAUUUAAAGCUAGUAUAGAGGUACAAAUAAUAUUUCUAUUGCAACUAAUGAAACAACUAGUGCAUAGUACAAAUAUUUGGGAGAUGGUCAAAGUGAACUUGCCUUGUCCAAAGCUGUGGUAGUUCUCGCACUCUUCGCAACAACAGGGUUCACACUCCACACAAUCUAAAAUAAAAGAAACAUACACACACAUAAACAUGCUAUUCAAUACAAAAACAUACCAUGGUGCAAUAGUCAUGAAGAUGCACACUCAGGUUGGUCCUAAACUUAACAAGUUUAGCUUAUGUUUUAAAGAGUUUCACAAAAGGUUUGGACAGAUUAUACACUAAUAAGGAAGUAAUUACUUUGUAUGAAACAAAGGUGAGCUUUAAUUAAAAGCUUAUUUGCUUUUUAUAAGGCAUGGAGCAAGAUUAAUUUGGUGUGGCAAGAGUAUUUACAAAAUAAUUUCCCCUCUGAUCCUAAUGGACGGAGAGUAGCCUUUAAACAUUUUACAACAUGCUAACAUUUUCAGAAUUAGUAUGAAGAAAUUCAUAUGAAUUUUAAACCAUAACUAAGCAUUCUGUAAUUUGGUUCUGUUAAAGUUGUUCAAAGUCAAAAUUAAACUAUGCCAAAAGAUUUUACAAGUUGUGAGGAUUCCAGAAAGGUACAGAACACAAUUUUUGGGCAAACGGUUUAAAAGAUAUGAACGUUUGAAGCUUCGGGGCCUUUUCUGCAAAGUUACUAUUUAAUUCGGCCGGGGUUUGUUUUUAUUUUUAAAGGGCGACACGUGGCGCUUUCUCAUUAGCCGGUAACGGUUCGGUUAAGUGGUAUAAUCCUAACCGUUGGGUUUGGAUCGGACGGUCGAGAUGGGGCUGGGGGCUUACCGGCGGCUAGGGUUCUCCUCCGGCGAGCUUGACGUCGGCGGCGGCUCAAGAAGUGGCGGCGCGGGCGGUCCGGUGGGCUUCGGGCUUCGGGAGAAGGUGAGGAAGGAGCGGCUUGACGUGGCGGAGUGGAUGGCGGCCGCGUUUUUGCCCGGGACGGUCGGAGACGACGCCUAGGACGACGGAACGAGGCGGCGCCGGCGGUGAGCUUCGGGCGGCGUGGUGGCGACAGGCUGCGGCGCUCCAAAAAUAGAAAGAAGCACGUCAAAAGCUGCGCAAGAGAGAGAGGAGAAGGGAGGGGUAGGCGGCGGCGGCUCGGACCUCUUGGUUCGCCGGCGGCGACGAAGAACACGGCGGCGGCAGUGGACUUUUUCGGCGAGAAAUUCCGGCAGCCUGGGACGCAAUAGGGACGGGGUGAAGGGGGAAAAGAGAGAGGGGGUCGAGGGCUUCAAACUGACGCGAAUGGCUUAGGAUAUGGGGUCGUGGACGCGAGGGAAUCGGAGGUGGAAGGCGUGGGCGCGGACUCGGGUCGUGGCCGGAUUCUUCGACCGACAGUUGGGGAAGACGACGGCCCUGACGUGUGGGGCCCGCCUGUUAGCAACGGCGGCUCGGCGCGCGCGCGGGCGGGGCUGCGGCCGGGCUCGGCACGCGUAGGUAAGUGGGCCGGUUCGGCCCAUUUGGCCGGGCCGGCCGUUUGUUCUCUUUUUUUUCUUUUUCUUUUUCUUUUUCUAAUUCCUGUUUUUGAAUAAACCUUUUGAUUCCAAGCUCCAAAUGAAACCAAAUGAAAUGCAACAAAAUUUGAAAAAUCAUAUUUUCAUAUGAUUCAACUUUUGGGACAAGAAUUCCCACAAAAUAAAAUAUUUAAAAAUACUUUUGCCUAUAAACUAGCUGUAACAUCCCAAAAUUUCAAACCUUUACAUGUGCAUUGCAUCCAUGAGCAUCAUGCCACAAUUGCAUGUUUGAAUUCAAAUUUGAAUCACAAAAGGCUUUAAAAGAUUUUGUUUACACCCAUUUGAGCUUUGGAUCUUCAAACCAUUAAGGUUUAAGUAUAAAAGGGGUUUAUUGCAUAUAUAAGCUAUCACAUAAUUUUUGGUUAAUUAUUUGGAGUUGAAAAAGUACUAUAUUCAAAUAGUUAUAUAGCCCUAAAGGCAUUUAUAGGGCAAAUGUAUUUGUAUAUAUUUUAUUUUGAAGAGAAACUACUUCCAAAAGUUGUGUCAUGGUGGAACAUGAUUUUACAAAUUUUCUGGGAUUUAUUUGGACCAAUUUGGAGUGCACAAUCAAAAGAUAUCAAAGCAAUAAGAAAAACAGAAAAAGAAAAGGGUAAAAGAAAAAAAAAGGGAGCAAACGGACCGGCCCGGCCGAAUUGGGCCGAACCGGCCCAACUCCUCGCGCGCGCCCGCAGCCCCGCCAGCCCCGCCAGCCCAGCCUCUCGCCCGCACCCGCUGACAGGCAGGGCCCGCCUGUCAGGGGCGUCUUCCCCGCAGGGAAGGCCCGCCCGUCACGGCGCGCUGCCCGCGCGCAAUCGGCGCCGCCGUCUUCGCCUCCCCGUCCGGCCGUGCCUCCCGCGAGCUGCCUCCCGCACCGCUAUAAAGGGCGCAGCUCCCUCUUCCUUUUCCCCCUGCUCUCUCUCUCUCUCUUGCCGCCAGGCCGCCGCGAUUUCUCACCGGACGCACCGCGCCGCCGGUUGCCGGAGUCCGCCGCCCACGCCGCCGCACCCGUCUUCGUUCUAGGCGACGCGUCCGCCAUCCCCGACCGCCCGACCCCGCGCCCGGCCGCGCCCCCGCCUUAGCCUCAACGAGCCGCGCGCGCCCGUGCCUUCCCCGAGCCGCCACCCUCGCCGGAGACCCCGCGCCGCCGCCGCCCGUGCCGCUCCGCCGCUGGAGAAGACCGCCGGAACCCUAAGUUCCCGGAGGUGAGAUCUCGGCCGCCCAUUUCUUCUCAACGGUGUAGAUUAGAUCGAAUUAAUCCACUUAAACCGAACCGGUACGCACCAAUGAGAACGCGCCACGUGGCCCUAGUUAAUAAAAUGAAAAUCUAAUUUUUAAUUUUUAAUUUCCCGGAUUAAUUAAAUGGCAUUUUGCAGAUAGGCCCCUGUAACUUCAAAUGAUCAUAACUUUAAAUCUGUUUGGCCAAAUUUAGUGAUCCGCACCUUUUUGGAAUCCUUAGGAAGUGUAGAAUCUUUUGGCACUGUCCAAUUUCAAAUUUGAAUAUUUGAAUCACAUUCAAAUUACAGAUUAGGGUUUUAGGCCAUUUAAAUCAUAACUAAUUAUUUAGAAGUUCUUUUUGAAUGAAACCAGUGCCCAAAAUUUUGUUUUAAUGUCCUCUGUCCAAUGGGACAGAGAAAUAAAUGUUUUGAAUUAAUAUAUUUGGCUGAUGCUAAUAAAACCUUAUUUUAGGGUAUAAACCCUAGCCAUUGCAAUUUAUUUAAAAACCCUAAUUGCAUGUGCUUAAAUUAUUUAUGCUUUGGAUCAGUAGAUCACCCAAAUAAAAUAAACCAAACUCAUGUCACAUGUUUUGCAUUUCAUCAUGACAUACAUAUUAUUUUGCUUGUAUGGUGUGUUUUAUGUAUGUGUAUGUUUUGCUUGAUUGUAUAGUUUUCUCGGAGAGCAAACUGUGUGACUGUGAAGAGUGUCUGAAUACCAACUACUAUCAAGGCAAGUUCACUUUGAUCAUUCACCUAUUACUUUAUUAUGCACUAGAUUUUUAGUUGCAUUGUUAGGAUUGUUAUGGUAUCUAUGCUAGCUAUGAUCUGUCCUACUAGUAUAUGAUACCUUUGUCAUGACCCUCACCACCAAUUGCCAUCGUAGUAGUAAAAUGCUAUGCUAUGAUAAUAUACGAGGGUGGUAUUAUUACAAAUAUGAUACUAUUGAAUUACAAUAUGAUUUUCCUAGUGUAUGGCAAAACAAGUAAUUCAAUGAAUCGUCCUGGGUGGGCUGCUUUGAGUUUUCGGAUGUCGUGACGUUAGGUCCAUUUCUAUGGGGCCCGCUGAGUCGUCUCUCCGUGUGAUUCGGGAGCGUCCACGGUCGCCUCCCCGUGCGAUUCGGGGAGCGCCUGCGUCACAAUGUGGGAUGCCACUCGGGAUAACCAGAGACUGGACUAGUUUCCUGUUUAGUAGCUUCCAGUACAACCACAUGGUAUUAUGGGCUCUGCCAGGAUGGAUGUAAGAAAUAUGAACCUGGAUCCGAGGUGACAUCGGUAUGUAGCAGUGUAGGUUGGAACGCGUCCCUCAGGUGGUCUGGGGGAAUAUGUUCUGAAAAUUCCUGUAAUCAAUGCCGUUGCUACUCUACCCUGAGGACAGCAAGGGAUUAACACGUCGAUUUCUUGUGGGUAAAGUGUACCACCUCUCGAGAGUGUCAAACUAAGUACUUAGCCGUGUCCCCGGUUACGGACAAUUAUGAGCAACUAGACAUCGGAGCUGUAAGGAAAGUCUCACUCAUUCAAAUUUCCUAAUAAAAUGAACGGUUUGAACUGGGUAGGAGCAUUGAUGUUUCUACUCAAUGUGCCUAGGUUAAUAGGAGCAUGGGUGUUUCUACCCCGUGUCCAAUAGAAUUCAAAACUAUUUGUCUAAAAAUGAUAGGAUUUAAAUAAUGAUGCUUUUAUACAAAAUAGCCAAACCCCACCUAGCCAAACUAUGCAUGUACUUGGUAGGUCCUUUAUAACUCUAGUGAGCUUGCCAAUACAUUCAAAUGUAUUGACCACAUAGUGGCUGCAAUUAAUAAUGCAGGUGAAACUGACGAAGAGUGAGGUUCGUCGAUAUUCCUCUGGGUCAUGUGCUUACAUUCCAACAUGCUCUCUCCUCUGGGAGUAGAUGAGGCCAUUUUUCUCUACUUUUCCGCUGCAGCUUCGUGAUACUUUGUUAUCAUGAUUUUGAACAUUAUUUGUUUAUGCUGGCCUAGGAGGUCAUGCAAGUUUGUAAGUACAAUUUAAGUUCUGGAUGAUACGAUGUAAUAAAGUACUUUUGACCUUUGUAUCUUGGUAUUACAUCUUGAACUGUGUGUGCUAGUGAGUCGAUCCAGGGACUAGCACAAGUAAGCACAGAGAUCGAACCCUUGGUGAAGGGGGAUCGCUUCACUAGCCUUUAGGGCUUUUUAACUAUUAAAAUAUUUAGUGUUUCAAAUCCAAUUCAAAUACCAAGAUAUGGGGUAGCAUUAUAAAUGCAUUAAACCCCUUUUUAUGCCAAAACCCUCAUGGUUUAAAAUGCAAUUAACCAAAAGAAAGAUGAAAAGUCAGAUUCAAAUAAAAGUACUUUUGUUAAUGGGUUUUUCUGAGUUAAACUUUAGGGUUUUAAAUGUGAUUAAAUGCAAAGGUGACAUGAUGCUUAUGAAAUGCAAUGCAUAUGAAGGGUUUUGAAAAUUGGGAUGUUAGAGGUUCGGAACCCUUUAACAAGUGGCCUUGGUCCUCCUUUUAUAGCCAAGGGGAUACCACAGGUGCCACGAUUACAGGGCGACACGCUAGCUUCUUACGUCUCCGAUACAUAGCUAAAGUGACUCGGCCUGAGCCACGCUGUCCUUCAUGCAAAUGCUGAUCCACUGCUUGCGGUGAGUAAAAUAUGUUCUAGGGGCGUCGUUGUAGCCUUCCUGUAGAGGAAUAGACCCACCGCUUUAGGUCUGUCUGGGCAUUUAAUGCCCUAUCUUGAGGGUGCUUUACUUUCCCUUUCCGUCUGGCCCACGGGAGCUCGCGGGAAAGAUUGCCGUUGCGGGUGCAGGUUGCCGUGGCGCCCCGGUUGCGGGGGCCAGGCUGCUUGCGGGGCCGAUCGCCUGAGGCUUGCGGGGAGUGAGCUUCCUGGGCUCGUGCCGCCCAGGCAGCUCGCCGUGCGGGAGAUGGCCGCUGCGACCCACGCGUCCAGAAAUAGUGGGUUCCCGAAGGACACUGGUGCGACACACAGUAAAAUCUUUAACAUUACAAAGUUCAAAUUCAAAUUCAAAUUCAAAUCCUUUUCUUGCUGCUUGUGUUUUUCGUAGGAUUAACCGUCUUGCUCCUUUUGUUCCUUGCUAUGUUGCUUUGUGGUACCUCUUUCUUGAUUCUUUUGGGCUUCACCAUGGGUACUGGCUCUGGUGGUGGUGGCGGUGUACUUCCAGUAACAUAUGCUAAUAUACUGUCAUGACAGGGAAGGAUAUCUCUUUCUUCGGCUUCUAUAGCUUCAAAACCUUCUAGAGCCAGUGCUUCAAAAUCAUCACCAGAUGUUGGUUCAACUAACUUGCGCAAUAGUCCUUUUUUUGCCUUUCCUAUGUGGUUCUCCAUUUCUUUUUCUCCUUCCUUUAUCCCUACUUAUUCUUGAGCUGUUGAUACAAAUUACAGAUAUAGAGAUUACAGAUUAAUACCUGGGAAUUGUUUUUGAAAAAAGACAAGGGAAUGUAACCAUACCAAUCUGUACUGCCCAUUAAACAGAGCUCAGGAGCUGCUUCUGCAACUUGUAGAUCCUCCGCAACCUCUUCAGACGCCUCAUCAUCCUCUGCAACGUCAUGAUCCUCUGCAUCUUCUUCAGGUGCUUCAUGAUCCUCUCCAUUUUGUGCACCCCAGUGCGCAUCUUCUCCAAAAGAUGGGUCCACCGGAUUUGUACAAAGCCAAUCUAUGUGCCCUAGUUGUCCACACCUUUUGCACUUACGCCUUUUACGUACACCACCCUCUGAACUUGCUCUUAUUUUGUUCUUCCGUGGCCUUCCUGCUGGUCCAGUCAGAACUGGAGAGUAGAGCUUGAAACCUGGAUCCAUGUUGGUCCAUUGGUCUUUCCCCAACAAAGAAGGCACAUUGUCAGCAUGUGUUGCCUUAAACUUCGCAACAGAGAAGUAAUCAGACACAUAUUGAUCAACUUCACCAUCUUCACCACCAAUGAUAGUCACGAAGAACAAUGCAUGUAUGCAUGGCUGCCCUCUGAUCUACAAUUGCCUACAACUGCAAGUACCACUUGCUAAAUCCACUGGAUAUCUCCAUUUCCUAUAUUUACUGCCAGUAUAGGUCACCUCAGCCUCAAAAGUUGAUCGUCUAAUGCAUUUCAUCCUCAAUUCUCUUGAGUUGGCAUGCAAUGACUUAAUCACAGAUUGGAGAAUGACAUGGCCAACAUAUUUGGUUUUCUGCAAUUCUUUUACGCAAAUCAAUCUUUAUUAUGAUCAUCUGCCUAAUCUUAUCAAAUGUUUGCCACAACAUAAGCCCUUUCACUGACUUGAUCUUUGCAUUGAAACACUCUGCAAGGUUGUUGGUAACAUAAUCUAUUUUGCAAAUUUCAUUGAAUUUGAUUCUUGGCCAAACCUUUCCAUGAUGUGAAUUCAUGUAUUCCUCCACCAAUGUAUUUUCUGAAUAUAACACUCUCAGAUGGUGCUCAUGCUUCCUCAAGCUGCAGGUGUAUGCUGCUGGCCAAAGGUUGUCAUCAUAAACUUUACCCCUGAAUUUCUUGGUGAAAUUGGCAGCUAGGUGUCUCAUACAUUCCCUAUGCUGCACUCCAGGGAAAACUACUUCUACUGUAGUUUCUAAACCCUUGCAAGCAUCUGUGUGUAUAGCCAAUCCUGGUGGAUGACCAAUAAUGUUGCGCAAGUUCUGCAAAAACCACACCCAACUCUCCUCUGACUCUGCCUCUGAAACAUCGAGUAUGUCACAGAGGGGAGGGAUGAAUGUGACCAGAUUUUAGAUUCUUCAAAUUAUGAAGACUGAAGACUGAUAACAGUCAUAGAACUUCAAGUACAUAGUGCAAAGACUUGGCAAGUUUUAGAUUAGUAGCAGAAUGAAGAAUACAACAUUUAGAACAACAGUAGCAGCAACAGAAGUAAGAACAACAAUAGAUUUACUUCAAUAGAUACAAGGAAACAAGAGUGAGGAACGAUAUCACCAGAACACGAAGACACGGUUGUUUGUUUCCCGAAGUUCAGAUUGUUGGCACAAUCCUACGUCUCCGUUGAGGGGGCUGAGUCACACAAGACUCGCGGACACACAAGUCCACCCAAUCCUCCUGAGCUAAAACCAAAGUCUCGCCCAGUUACUCGUGGUAGAUCUUGUGGUGAUCUCCGGACCUUCACAGACUGGUUGAUGGCAAAUCACAAGCUUCGAUUGCUCUUCAACACUGACUCCUAGCCGUCUAGGUGAUGCCAAUCACCAAAAGUAACAAGCUUCAAGUGCUCGGCUAGAGAGGGUAUCCCAUUCUUCACGCUCAGUUCAGCUCUAAGGUUUUUCUGGUGUUCUUCAAAACAUUUUCCUUCGGGAUCACCACCGAAACCGUUCGGGGUGGCUCGACUUAUAUUGCCUCGGCCUCGUAGAUCUAGCCGUUGCGACCCGUUGAAUAAGUGUGCAACGAGACUCCAGCUCACACUUUAACCCGUUGUCUCACAACGGAAAGAUUACGUGAUCAAAGCACAACGCGACAAAGAUUUUCAAACACAUUUUAGAUCGGAGUGAAGACUUCCCACCGGAAGUUUCUGUGAAGCCAGAAAUGCUUCAUUCUUCACUCCGACGAAACACACUCACACAAAAUGGUUUUCGCCUAAGCUGAACAUGAAGAAUAAGGUUUCACCUAAACCAGCUUCACACUUCAAACCCUCCUUAAUAGUACGGCGUUCCUAUACUCAAGUGAAGAAAAAGCUAUAGAAAGACCUAUGAAGAAGACAACGCCUCAAUGUUCUUCACCGUUCUUCACUGAGUUCUUCAUACUUCAUGUCGGUACCUGUACUUCAAUUUUUAGGGGUCAUCGAUGCUGGCUUAACCAAUUCUUUUGAGGAACUAGAACCUGAAACACUCCGUGUAACUCAUUAGUUCCUCAACCAUGUUCUCAUCAUUCAUCAAAACCCAUACAGGAGCAAGGUUUUCCUUUCAAUCUCCAACACACCAAAAGCAAGUGGGAAAAGCCAGUUGUGUGCAUCAACUGCACAUGCGGCUACAAGCUGUCCUCUCCAUCUUCCAUUCAGAGUAGUUGCAUCCACAUCCAAAUACGGCCUGCAGCCAUCUAGAAACCCUUGCUAGCAAGCCUUGAAACAAACAAAUGCCCUCCUGAAGCAUUCCUUCUCCUUCCUCUUUCCUUUGUAAUUGUACUGAACAGUAUGCUUGUCAAUCUCUACAACACUGCCUGGACUAGGCAUCUCCACUUCAGCUUUGUAGGUGUAUAGCAACUGAAAACUAUCAUUCCAUGGACCAUUAAUACUGUCAAGAGCGAUUUCCUUAGCAUAAAAAAAUCCCCAUACAAGGUAUGUCAUCUUAUACUUCUCAAAAAGCUUCUGGUGUAGUGCUGUUGGACCAAGUGUUGGUGUUUUCUCUCAUCAAAUCCAUGAUUGCAUCUGCCACCCACCUGGUCUUUGCUAAUUUUGUUUUGGCCUUUCCCUCUCCAGGUGGACAAGUGUGCACAUGUUGGUUGAUUUUAAUCUGAAAUACAUAAAAAAUAGAGGGAACACACAUAAUGAGAUCAAGUAAGACCAUGUAACAAUCCCAAUUUCAAAUGAUGAUAUUUAUCAAAACUUAGUUAUAAUACCUGAAUCAAUUUGCAUUUUCGCAUACAGGAGGCAUGCAACCUCCACCUACACCUCUCAUAGGGCCAGUGAACUGUCAACCUUCUUGACUCACUCUUCACAAUCACAAAGUCAUUUUGACCGAGAAUGCAAUAUUUAGUAAGUGCAUUCCUCCAGUCCACCAUCGUUUCGAAUAUGGUUCCUAGUGUUAGCUGAGGAUUUUCCUUGUCCCACUCCAGUGUAGGCAUGUCCUCACCGUCAUAUUCGUCAGGAACCAACAUGUCAGUGUUGUCCUCUUUCUCUUCAUCGUCAUAGGGGGGAUCGGAUGGGUUCCUUCUGGUAUUCAUCUUGCAUUGCCUAUAGGCUGAACUUGUCCACUAAUUUAGGGUACAUCAUCUCAUCCUCAUCAUCUUGUGGAGGGACGGUGUUGUCAGGCUGUGCAUCGUCAUCUACAUCCACGACAGCACUGGUCUGGCUGGCAUUGCCUGUAGGUUUAGAUAGUAUGGACCUACGAGGAGUGCAGGGGUGACCACUAUUAGCAGAGUUAACUGAAUUCCUUACGACCUCUCCCAUUUGCUUCUGCCAUUCUUUGUGUGGCUGUAGCACAUCGAUUUGAAUUUACCGAAAUGGGUGUCAGCAUUCAAACCAAAGAGAAAUCCUAGAUGUUCGUUGCAGGUUAGAGGCUCAAAUCUUUGUUCGGUACCGUUGAAAUAUUUGAAUUCAACAACAUCUUCCUGGCUCCAGGGAUAUACAGAACAGAGGGAAUUGCAAAAAUCUGUGAAUGAUAUGCUUGUUUCUACCACCUUUGGAUAGCAAAAUGUAGACAUUAGAUGCUCUUUAGUACCCCGCAGUAUGUUAGUUUCCAACUGCUAGCCGAAAAGCAGUGGCUGGAUCAAUCCUAUUCGAUCAAAAACAGAGCGUGCAGUUAGGCGGCCGAAAAUUAAGCCAGCCAUUGUAACCAUUCACUCGGCCAAUGGUAAGUAAAAUCCGAGGCAUUCUACCGAGUAGAUCAUACAUCACAGUGGCGGAGGAUUCAAUGCUUAUCCAUCUGGAAUCCAUGAUUCUCCCGGUUGGACCAUCUACUCCAUUGGCGAUGCGCUGGGUGGAGCUGCCCGUCUUCAUUGCUUUGUCAGUGCCGGAGGAAGCGGCUGAACAGCUCCUCUAUAGCGUGCGCUCAAGCUACUGCAGAUCGAUGCGCCGGCGGAUGGAACGACACAACAGAGGCUUCUUUGGUGGGGAGGUAGAUGGGCCGGAGCCUUGAUUGGGCAAGGAAGUUGGGGGUAGGUGCGGCGCGUCCCUUCGUUGGUCUCGCCGGUGGCAAAAGGUUUAGUGAACGAGCUCAUGGCGGCGUGAUGAGGAUAUCUCCGCCGGGUAACCCCAGGUCGACUGAAGGAUGGGGGAUGACUUUAGUGUACAAGUCGGCCCCCUCCUAAUGUCGGUUUGGUAUAUAUGUAAUUGUGCUAAUGAAAUGUCUGUUGCACACAAAAAUAUUAUAAUUAACCGGUGUCAUCAAAACCCUCCCAAGAUGCGUGCCGCAGUAUUAGAUAAUCUAAGGGGAAUAAAGGGAAAUUUUAGUUUUAUUUUUUGAUCAUUAGUGCUCGGAUUAUUGAUGAUAUGUUGGUUAAUACAUAAAUCAGGGCUUUUGAUUAAACAUAAUUGAGCUUUGAACAAGAACUUUCCCAAAGUCGACAACCAAACUUCUAGCUAAAGGUGAAGAGAUUCCAACAAGAUUCCUUGUAAAAUCAGCGAGUAGUGUAGAACAAGUUUAAGUUCGCUAUAAUUUUUUUGUUUUACUUAAUGGUGAGUUGGUGCCCAACAGCUUGAUUAAGUUCUCCAUAUAAUUUUGGGCAAACAUUUCUAUCAAAAUUCAAAACUGAAUGUACAUGUGAAUAUCUGUGUUUCAGAAGGGCCUUUUCUCCAGGAUAUUGUAUUCAAAAUUCAAACACUUAAAAAAACCAAAAAUAAUGCUUUGAAACCCCUUUGCUACAAAGAGAAUUUGUACUGUAGUUGGCAUGUGACGGAGGGAACAUGCAACCGAAAUGCAGUGUGGUGCAUGACCCUGGUCAAAAGGAAGCAAGGCAGAGCCUGCUGCAGGUGGGACCAGCCUGCAGGACCGGAUCACCUGCAAAGCACGCAGGCUUUGGCGAAGCCAGCAUAAGCUGCUCUGUGACCAAUCAUGGCAUGGCACGUGUCCACUCCAGGUUCUUCUGGCUUGCAAAUUGCAAUCUCCCUUCUUCUUUACCGCAACAUCAACUUAGAGAGAACCAAACAUCGACUCUCAAAGCAGUGAAACAUUUUUUCUUCCGUUCUCUUCCUUCCUUAACCCAACUUAAAGAGAAUAAAGAAGCGGCCAUGGCGGAGGUGAGCAUGGAGAGGCUGGUCAGCAUCCUGAUGCAGACCAAGAUGGCGGCGAAGAACAUAAAAAUCAAAGGUUCAAGAAUAUUCUGAAAGAUAUUGAUCAUAUAGAAAACUGAAAGUAGAGUAACUUUAGCGUCGACCUAUUGGUGAAGGGCAUUUUCAGAUGUUUUUGAGUAAAAAACGAGUUGCAAGUCCAUUUUGUUAAUUGGAAGUAUCUCUAAAUGAUUCAUAUGGACCUUAUUUUUACUUGAAUAUAUUUUGUCGACUUACGUAUGUUUUCACAUAUUUAUGUACAGCUUAUACUUAUUGACAUGAUAAAGGAUGAGAAACUCGACAAGAUAGAGAGUACAUCAGUCGCCACGAGGCGCGAGUAAAUAUUGCUAGUAAGCAUACAGAGAAGUACACUCAUCGAUUUAUUCGAUAUUAUCUUUUGCAUCAUGAUAACGUGUCAUGCUUUGCAAGAAGUUUUUCCUAUCUAUGCAUACAGGAAAUUGUGACUCUGACACAGGAACAAGUCAACAAAAAAAAAGAGAGUUACGAGGCAACUUCGUGCGAAACCGACUCGACCAUCAGGGGGCUACAACCAUUAGAAAUCCAAAAGCUGGCACACAGUACUCGGCGUCCCACAAAGUCGGCCAAUAGCCGUAGGGCAGUACACUUAUCUGUAAAUUAAUACUACAUACAUGUUUUGUCCCCUCAGAAUAAAUUUCAGGGCAUGUAUCACAUAUUGGAGAACACUCCAGACCAGGCUUUGACCGAAGUCGGCCCACGGUCGCGACGAAUCAUGCCCCAGAGCAUUUAAAGGUACAUGGUAAUCGAUUUACUUUGUACAUACAUAUAUUUUUCUCUAUCCUACGGGUAUAGUACACCAUGGAAACGGAGGCUAAAAGAAACUUCAUCAAAGUCGGACCCCCAGAAGCCGACAAACUUCAAAAUCGGCUUUGAUCGAAAAUUAUCAACACAGAGAAAUGUGCCCGAGCACAUCCAAAGAACUCGGCUUUGAAGAAGACGGCCAUACUCUGAAGGACGGCCCGAAGCAAAAAAUAUGAUCAAGAAGACAUGAAGCUAGGCCUCACGAAGAAGAGACGACCUCAUGAAGACGCAACAAGCGCUCAAGACUCAGUCAGCCUCCUAUCCACGUUGUACUCGGGGGCUAAUGACGAGGAUAUCCCAGCCGGGUAGCCGACAACCGACUGGAAGAUAUUGCCGACUUAGUGUACAAGCCAGCUGUGUCCACCACCCGGCUAGAAGUUGCCGUACAAGAGAAGGAAGCCUAGUUUAAGUUAUAGAAAAUAUCAGUCGUAGAUAUCUUGUAUAGGAAGGAUGCCUCGCGCAUAUCUUGUGAAGGAAGGAAUCCUUGUACAUUAGGAACAGAAGAGUAUGUGUUCUAAUAGUACACGGACACCGAAACCCUCGGCUUGCCCUGUACAUAAGGCCACCUAGGGGCGCCCCCAAAGACAGGCCUCACAACAUUGUAACCUCUAUACUAAAUAGUAGAUUGCCAACAGGACGUAGGUCUACCUCCAAGAGUAGGGGUAGCCGAACCUGUAUAAACCUUGUCUCACCGCGCUCAAGAUCCGCCGACUCAUCGCCGCACGGCCCCUCUAUACGAUUGUCCUCCAUGAUGAUAUUUGUCUCUAAAAACAAUCCACACUAUGUGGGCCGCGGAAACGGCAGGGUGCAAAGCCAAACCGGUUGAGUGCAGAUGGUCAAAGUUCAGGGCCCGUGACCGUUCCCCUAGGCACGCAGGAGCCUGCCAGCGGGACAGCCCAUGUCGUCCGACUAGUCGCGUCACCAGCCCAGGUCUACAGACAGACUGACCCCACAAGCUAGGCGCGAUCUUGCGGGCUAGGCCCGCGCGUCCCUUAUGGGGUGCAGCCCGGCAACUGAUGCACGAAGCCCUGGCACCCAGGAAGCAGAACACCCCAGAAGCAGUUGCCGAGCCACGCACGGGGCUACUGUCAUGGCACUGGCACCUUGUGCGGAUGGUGGCCCGGGUCUACCACUUGGCACGAACGAGUGGGCGGCGACCCUAGUCCCGGGGCGAAGAGAUUAUUCCGCGUUGUGCACGUCAGGGCACGCCCCCUAAGGCCAAGAAGGGGCCAAACCUCAUGACAGGCGUUGGGCUAUAUAAGCCCCUCCCCACCACUUCACCCAGAGAAGAGGAGCAUAGGCAUCGCAAGGGAUACUCCAUAGGCCUGGCUGUAGCAGUCUCCCUGAGGAAGCAGUCCUUAUGGGUGUGCUGCAGCCAGGCCCGAGGGGUCUCAGUACCCACUUCGCCGGAGGGUCUUCUCGGAGCUCAACCAACUAGGGCAUCAAGAGGCCAAGUCCGGCCAGCCGAUGCCUUACCUGGUUGGGACUCCUGGAGGCACUGCUGGGCAUGACUUAGAGGAAAGACUGGCGAGGAACAAGCAUAGUGGGCCUCCAGGCUUCGCGGUCACGGUGACGUGGAAGGGGAGCGUCCUCCCGUAAUACCACGGCGCCCCGUCCCCUUUUGCGGCACCGUGCCGUCGAAUCCGGGGUUCCCCCCAGCGGCUGUCGUCGCCCGGUGCUCCGACACCGGGGGCGUGCAGCCACGUCCCCGUUUUAGGUUCGGUAGGGACGUCUGGGGCGGAGACCCGGUUAUCGCCGGCACGGCCGAUGAGGCCCUAUGGGGCUGGUGAGACCAAGUGCCAAGUGGGCGUGCUAGCACCAAAACAAAUGCACACCCGUUUUUACCCCGGUUCGGGCCACCCGGAGGUGUAAAACCCUACGUCCUGCCUGUCUGAACUGAUAUUGAUUGCGGAUCAAGCAUAUACAAGUUUUUGCCGGGCCAGUUCCCGGGCUUCCUCUCAAUGGCUAAGUACUCCUUACUAUUCUCUGCUUGCUGUCCACCGGAACCAACUGACCAACUCACUACCCUCCGAACUGUCUGACCCGUCAACCGUCUAACCCCCUUGACCGCUGGCAUGGGUCCUACUUUUAUACACAAGGGGAUGCCACAUGUGCCACGGUGCAUGGGCUACAAGUGUCCAACGGGGAGGCACGCAACUCUCCCUGGUGAGCUGGUUGCAUGCAUGGGUUCCACCUCCGCUGCUAGGGGCCUAAGACCCUAGGGUAGGAUUGGACAACCACUGUUCCUUGGAUCGGACGGGUAACUAACCGUCGGUCGGUUCGUUUACUGAGCCGCGUGGCUUACUCCUUGCCUUGGUGGGACCGCACGUUCCGCGCCCGCCACUCGCCUGUGCGGCGCUGUCCAGUGGCCCCCACGACCCGAGACGGGGGCACGCGUCGGGGAACCCCCAGUCCCCGCAAGUCGGCCCGGGAAGCACCCGGGCCCAGCGCACCCGGGAACCUCCUCCCGGGAAGCAGCUUCCCGGGAGCUGCCUAAGCAGGAAUAUUCCCCGAAGCCCCGCUAGCCCCUUUCGGGUUGGUAGCUUGCCAGGAAGCUCGUCGGCGCUCCCCGGGAUGAGACCUUCCCGGGAACCCGAGGGAGGGGUGCGCAGCGGUGGUACCCCGGGUGCCACUGGUGCGACAGUAGCCCCCGGGCGUGGGCCGGCACCAACUGUUCCCGGAAGGGUCUCCCCCUAGUCGGUUGCCGGGCUACGCCCUUAACCGACGCGUGGGCCCCCGAUCAGUUGCGGGCCCGCGUCCCUUCGCUGCCCCGUGUACGGCGCCGCUAAAAGCGGAGUAGUGGGCGCGAGAUUUCCGCCCUAACUCUCCCCCUAAAUAGGGUAGUUAAGGCCACUCUGCGCAUUACUCCCAGUGAUUAGGAGUUAUCCCCGCGCACCCGUAGGGUAUGGAACCGGCCGUUACCAAACGACCGGGCGUCAUAAAUCUUUCACUGUUGCCAACAGGGGAGCAACACUUUGCCCUUUCACCUCCAUCCUCUUCCGCAUCUCGCAUCCCUGCGCUCCUGCCAGUUUCCGCCCUCGCUCCCCAUGGCGCCCUCCACCACCAGGAAGGGGAAGGAGGUCCAGUCUUCGAAGAAGCCCGCGACCAGCAAGACCGAGGCGGCACUCAAAGCGGCCGCCGCAAAGGACCAGAAGAGGCGGGAGAUGCGCGCCACGCUCGCCUUCUUCCGCCCCGGCUACAACGGCGAGGUGCUGGGGAAGAUUCAGCACGCCGUCGCCUCCAACUUCAACAAGCACGGGGAGACACGGAUCUUGCCGGCGGGCGUCGAACACCAGGAUAACAACUUUCGGUUGUUCGCGCGCUUCCUCCUCUGCGGCAUGGUGCCGCCCUUCUCUCUGUUCCUCCACGCGCUGAUGGAGUCCUAUCAGUUGCGGGUGGCGCAGCUCCACCCCACCUCGCUCUUCCUCCUCGCCACCUUCCAGUUCCUCUGCGAGACGUUCGUGGGGGUGAUGCUGUCGGUGGGGCUCUUCCGGCAUUACUUUUACCCGCGCAUCGACAACGCGAAGGCGAUAUCGUCGGGGGAGGUUUUUCAUGCCCGCGACCAGAUGAAGUCGGAGUUCAUCGUCCGGUCGGGGAAGAAGAUCGCAAAAGAGUGGCGGGGCGACUGGUGCUGGGUCCGAGUGGAGGACCCCCAGGAGUUCAUCCAGCCGCCGACGGAGCUGCCGGUGCCCCAGAUCGGUUGGCAGGAUAGGUACCACCGGGACGCCGACCUCCUCCCCAUCGUGGAGAAGAUCAAGGCAUUGCAGCUAGCGGGGCUCACAGAUGUCGACGUGGCGCGCACCUUCGUCCACCAGCGCAUAGCCCCGCUGCAGCUGCGUUCCCGGCCCGCGUGGAGGUACACGGGCUCCGGGGACAGGACACGCCUCCAGGCGGACGGCGUGGACUUGGAGUCCCUCAGGACGUGGGUGAGGGGGAUCUCCGGCGAGAUCUUCCAGUCGACGGAGUUCCCGCCAGGGGUCUCCGCUCUCCAUGCCGGUGUCAGGGCGCUCAGCGACAUCGUCGGCGCCUUCCCGCCCUGCAACGAGUGGGGGCUGAUGAACGACACUCCCACCCGCAUCCCGCACGCUCCCCCGCAAGCACCCCGCGGGAAGCGGGUGCUCGAGGAGAGCGAGGGCGGGUCCGAGCCCAGCUGGCCCUCUCUCCGGUCGCUGGACGACGAGGCGGGCCAGGUGGCCUCGUCCCCGGAAGUCGUCGCCGUGGAGGACGACGACGAGGAAAGCAGCGACAGCGUGCCCCUGAUCGUGAGAAGGUCAAGGGCGUUCGCGGCGGCCGCAGCCACCUCCUCAACAGCGACGUCCGCCCCGGCAGCGGCCAACAACCUGGCGGCGGCCGCCGCUCCUGGGGCGCCCGUGGGUACCCCGACGGCAUCCGCGGCAAGAGAGGCCGCGAGUGCCUCGGCGGCGGCCCCUGCCUUGGCGGCGGCCGCCCGCUCCGCGGCGGGAACCGGUCCCGGGGUGCCCGCUGGUACCCUGGCAACGCCCGCACCUGCGGGGGUCACCGGCGCGGCACCUGGCGACGCGCCCGAAGCCGCGGACGUGGCCGGCUCGGGCUCACCCGUCGUCCCUCAGGGGGCAACCCCCGCCGGAAGCAGGGAGCCCUCUCCAACCCCGGUGUCCUGGAGCCUAGGCGCGGGGGAAGUUGCCGGGGAAGGACGGCAAGACCCCCGGGAGCAAGUUGGCGACCCCGCGCCUAGCUCCACUUCGGCAGCUGGGGCUUCAUCAUCCACGGGGGCUCUCCCCGACAACGACCUCGGCACCCUUGCCGAGGUCGCUUGGAACCCUCUUACCUGGGAUCCGAGCGUCUUCGAGCGGGGGCACCGCUUCCUGGACGCCGUCCGGGACAAGAAGUUCACCUUUGUCACCUCCUACAACGAGGUGAGGGAGCGCCACACCGCCGCCAAGAAUCAACUCGGCGAGGUGCGGGAGGCUGUGGAGAGAGAGCGGCGCGAACUCUCCCGGCUGCGCGAGGAGGCGUGCCUCGCCGAAGAGGAGGCGCGGCUGGCCCUGAAGGCUGCCCGGGAGCCAGUAGUCCUGGAGACCGAGCUCCGUCGGCAACUGGAGGUCCAGCGCACGGAACUCCAAGGAAGGCUCGACACGAUGGCGGCAACUCUCGAAGCGUCCCGGAAGGAGCAUGCCGAUGUGCUCGUGACGGCCCAGGCGCGGCUGGACGAGAAGAGCGAGCUGAUCGCCAGCUACCACGGUGAAAUCCAAGGCCUCCGUGUCCUGCUGGAGGUGCAGGUCAAGGCUGCCGAGGACGCGGUGAGAGCGGCGGCUCAGCACAAGGCCGAGCUCAACUCCGUCAAAGGCAAAGCGGCCGGGCUGGAGGACGAGCUAGCCGCCGUCCGGGAAGAGCUCACCAAGGCCGGCGAGUCCAACGCGACCCAGGCCUUAGAGCUUGCGAAGCUGGAGGGCCACGUCAGCAAGGCCAAGAAGGCUGCGCAAGAUGCCCGACUCCAUCACGGCAUGCUGAUCGGGCAGCGGCAGCUCGAGACAGAGAAUCUGGCGAAGAUCGCCGAGUCACUGCGUGACCUGCUGCCCAAGUUCGAGCUGCAGGCGGCGGAGGUGGACGGCACGGACGUCACAACGCUGACCCCCUUCUUCUCUGACUUGUUGGGGAAGCUCGGGGCGCUCGAUGUCUGGAUCGCCAAGUAUGGCGCCAAUGAAGUCGCCAACUGCGCCCGGGAGGUUGCCGGGACAAUCCUCCCGCGAAUCCAUCUCCGGGACCCGGAGUUCCCCUUCGAGUCUCUGCUGGAUGCUUGGUCCGACAGCGAGGACGAGCCCAAGCAGUGCGCGAGUUUGUCGACGAGGUCGUCGAGCGGAUGCAGAUGAAGGCGGAGCCUGAACCCCCCGUCGACCCCCCGGCCGAAGACGGCGACAGCUAGUUGCCGCAGCCCUCAGCUAUACUCGUUGCUUCCACUGUACCUCCUUCUUGUUUGCUUUCCCUGCAAGUACGGCGCUCAGUACCAUUUGAACAAUGACCUUUCGAUUAAUCCAUGUAACCAUUUGACACUUAGUCAAUCAAGCUUGUUAGUUUGCUCAAUUUUUGUUCUUUAUUCCCGAGGCCGCCUCGCGGGGUGGUUCCCUUAGCCUUUGCGUGUCUUGCCUUGUGUUGCGGGGGGACUCGCGCACGCCUCACCCUUGACCAGACCAGGGACCCGGGACGGACCCGCAGUGCCGACCUGGGGCCAAGCGGUAGCGGGGCGCCACUCUGCUUGCAGGGUAACCACUCCAAGCCGUGUCCUCCCGGGGCGGACCCGGGAGCUACACGGGGAGCGCACUCCCCCUGCAAGCGUCCCUUUUAACACUCCGGCUACGCGCGGGACAGUGCUCAGUUUCGUUCAGCUCUUAGCGAAUUCAGCGUUCAUGUUCAGAUACUUAGCUUUUCCAUUUGGUCCAAUGUUUCGCGAUGCUCUGCGGUAGAGUGCAGAUGGGGCACUGCCUCGGUAGGAAACCAUCUGGGGUACCUGUUCAAGGGAAACGAUCUCGGAGGGAUGCGGCAGGAAUGCGGGGGCAGGAUCGCCGCCGGCGGUAACCGCCGCCGACGAUGCUACCACCACGCUCACGCGGCAACCCUCGCCCUCAGGGGCGGACCCUGGCUUUCAGGGACGAAACCUGGCUUAGGAGGACUCCGCCCCGGGAGCAGACGCGAGACGGCUAUAACGUCCUCUCCGCCGGCUUCGCCCCACCCUGAACGGUGGGCACGGGUGGCGAGGAAGUUAUAGCCUCCCAGCGACAGCCCCUGCAACUGGGGAGACCUGGGUUUUCUCUGGGGAACUCGUCCAAAGGGAGGCGACGAUCCUUGUUACCCGGGAGAUAAACUGCUCGAGGGCCGCGGCAAGGACGCAGUGAUGGGCCGGAACGGGCGACGAGUGCCGGCACCGGCGCCAUCACAGCGUCCUCACAACGACCCGCGCCCGAAAAAGGCUCUCUCAAAGGGAAUGCGGCCGGAUCCCCAUGAUAGUGCACCCGUCGGCACAAGGCACGGAUGGCAUGCACUACCAUAGAGUCUCCGCGGCAGCCCCUGCUCCUUGCGGAGGUGUCCUACGGAGGGGGGCGACAAGGGCACUGUGGCAAUGCACCCCGUCGGCGCCGGACGCUGAUGGGAUGCACCACCACAGUGCCUCUGCGGCGACCCUUGCCCCGGAACCGCCCCUUUGAGGAAGCGCAGCAGGGGCACAAGGGCAGUGCACCUGUCGGCGCGGGACGCUGAUGGCAUGCACUCCCAUCGUGCCUCUGUGGCGCCCCUCGGGGUGGGCUCGAUGGGGUGACACAGCAGGGGAGCGAUGGCAGCGCACCCGCCGGCGCUAGGCGCCGGCGGGAAGCACCACCUCCGCGCCUCCGUUGCACCACCUGCCUUCACGGCCCCGAACCCGGCUUCGCUCUGAGCCAUUACAUGGUUGGGGGGCGCCUUUUAUAGACACGGGAGGGAGGCUUGCCACAGCGCGCGACGGAUCCGCGUGGCGUCAUGGCGCCUUUCCCUCGAACGCGGCGCAGUUUCCGCCACCAUGCUUACCGGGUAACCGCGGCACACGUGGCGGCAAGCUGUCAACUCAGAAGCCUCGGAGUGCGGGGAACCCCUUGUGUUGCGGACCUCCCUCACUACAAGACACCGGCGUAUGGUGCGACCCGUGGGCAGCUCACGGACACCACAAUGUACAAGAUUCCUCCCUUUCCUGCAGGUUAGACUCUUACCAGAUCCGAGGUGCUGCAAAAAUCUUCGAAACUUACGGAAACAAGUAACACAGGUAAAACAGAUAAAUCUCUCCUGCUUCCCAGCCCCCGGCACAAAGGGGUCGAUGCCAAACUUGGAUGCGAGCAUUUCCUUUCCCAGGCGCAGCGACUGCGCGGUGCAAGCUGCGGGAGGCCGAGCAACUGCACGCCUAGUGAUGCACGUUGCGAGAAGCCCGCCAACGGCACGAUCAGUGAUGCACGUUGCGGGAAGCCCGCCAACGGCCUGUCCAGUGAUGCACGUUGCGAGAAGCCCGCCAACGGCAUGUCCAGUGAUGCAUGUUGCGGGAAGCCCGCCAACGGCAUGUCCCGUGCCGGAACGAUCCGGCAACGGGUUUUCGUUUCGGGGCCACGGCAGCCCCUUGCUCACAACCAAGCAUGGAAAGACAUCUUUGUGCACUUAAAGCAGGAGGCAAGAGGGGGAAAACACGGGAAUGAACAGGGCAAAACUAAAGCUCAGGGGGGAAACACUUAUCUUUAUUCACGAUUAACUAGCGGUCUACACACGGGGGCUGCCCGGUUACACUAGUUCGAGAGGUAUGCAUCGGAGGCAUCACCUGAGGGUCGGGCUCCACCGCUUCACGGGUAGAACUUGCGCAAGUGUUCAACAUUCCAGCUAUUGGGCACCGGCAAGCCGUCUUCGGUUUCCAGGCAGACAGCCCCCGGCCUGGUCACCUUCACUACCCGGAAGGGGCCCUCCCAUUUCGGAGUCAACUUGUUCCCGGCCUUCGUUCCUUGUAUCCGGCGCAGGACAAGGUCUCCGUUCUCGAGCCCCCGGGGACGAUCUCGUCUGUCGUGAUAACGACGGAGUCCCUGCUGGUAGCGCGCGGCUCGCACAGCAGCCCGACAUCGAAGCUCUUCGAUGAAGUUUAGAUCGUCGACCCUUUGAUCGUGUUGGCUGGUGUCGCCGUACACGCGUACUCGGGGAGAUCCGUACUUGAGCUCGAGGGGCAGCACCGCUUCUGCCCCGUAGACAAGGGCGAAAGGAGUUUCGCCCGUUGCCCGACUAGGUGUGGUCCGGAUGGACCACAGCACGGGCUGGAGUUCCUCGAUCCAGUGCUUCCCGUGGCCUUUGCGCUUGUCAAAGGUUCUCGUCUUGAGCCCCUGCAGAACCUUUGCGUUGGCUCGCUCCGCCUGUCCGUUGCUCCUCAGGUGAGCGACGGACGCGAAGCGCAGCUUAGUGCCCAUGUCUUCGCAGUAGGCGUGAAACGCCGCACUCGUGAACUGCGUGCCGUUGUCAGUGAUGAUGCUGUUAGGAACACCAAACCGGCACACAAUGCCCUUAAAGAACUUGAUGGCCGCCUGGGCGGUCACCUUGCGCACUGGUUCCACCUCCACCCAUUUGGAGAACUUGUCGAUGGCCACAAAUAAGUAUUCGUAACCGCCAACCGCCCUUGGUAGCUUGCCGACGAUGUCCAGCCCCCAGACCGCGAACGGCCAUGAGGACGGCAUGACAUGCAGGGUCUGGGCUGGUUGGUUGCUCUUCUUCGAAUGGAACUGGCACGCCUUGCACGUCCUCCCCAGCCGCUCUGCGUCGGCCAGGGCCGUGGGCCAGUAGAAGCCAUGCCGGAAUACCUUGCCGGCCAAAGCCCGGGAGGCCACAUGGUGUGAACAUGUGCCUCGAUGUAUGUCCUCCAACAGUGCACACCCUUCUUCCUGCGGCACGCAGAUGAGUUUGACACCAUUCGCGCGCCUGCGGUAGAUGCUGCCGUCUAUCACAGUGUACAUCUUGGCUUGCUGCGCUACACGCUCCGCGGAGACAUCAUCCUCCGGGAGAGCCUCCCCUUUCAAAUAGCGGGCGAUCUCUUCUGCCCAGGGAGGAAUUUCCCUGCCAACGCAUGCCGCCAUAUCAGUGGCAUGGACCCCUGCUGCUGCAGGGGUUCCUUCGGUUGCCGGAGGGGCAUCCCCGGCAGCCGGCUGGGGGGCGAUUGAAGGAGCCACUUGCUUCUGGCAGAACACCCCCGCCGGAGGCUUUCGGCGCUCUGCUGCCAUCUUGGCCAGCUCGUUAGCAGCGAAGUUGUCCUUCCGCUUGACGUGUUCGAAGCGCAAACCCUUGAACUUCCGUUCCAGCUUGCGGACCUCUUCCACGUAUGGCGCCAUUUGAGUGCAAUCGUAGUCCUUGAUCACCUGGUUGAUCACAAGCUGGGAAUCGCCGCGAACAACCAGGCGCUUAAUGUUGAGGGCGACCGCUGCCCGCAACCCGGCAAGCAGACCUUCGUACUCCGCCAUGUUGUUGGUGGAGUUAGCAAAGUCGAGUUGAAUGGCAAACCGCAACUGGUCCCCUGUCGGCGACUCGAUGACGACCCCGACCCCCGCUCCCUGGAGACUGAACGCACCGUCGAAGUAGAGGACCCAGUGGCCCUCGUCCAACUUGCCGGGAAGGCCGGUCCUCGACUCACUUUCUUCUACGCCCGUGGACGUCCACUCCGCGACGAAGUCCGCCAGGGCCGUGCUCUUGAUGCUUUUGGAGUUGGCGAAGUGGAGGUCAAACUCCGACAGCUCCAUCCUCCAUUUGGCCACCCUCCCGGUGGCUUCACGGUUGGUGAGGGUCCGCUCGAGGCAGAACCCGGACACCACCGUGACGCAGUGCGUCUGGAAGUAGUGGCGCAGCUUGCGGGACGCAAGGAGAAUCCCCAGAAGGAGCUUCUGUACUUGCGGGUAUCUUGUCCGCGCGUCGCGCAGCACCGUACUAACGAAGUAUACCGGACGCUGCACCAACCACUUCCGUGGCGCCGGGGUUGCCGGUUCAGGGUCGGUCCUCGGGUCCGAGGCGGUUGCUGAGGGCCGCUCAGGCCCCUGCCCCGCAGCCCCAGUCCCCGGGACGUCUUCCUCCCUCUCGGCAACCAGCACCGAGCUGACCACCUGGUCAGUCGCCGCUAAGUAGAGUAGCAACGGCUCGCCCAACUUGGGGGCGACGAGGAUGGGCGGUGACCUCAGGUGUCGCUUGAGUUCCUGGAGCGCCGCCUCGGCCUCGGCAGUCCAGUCGACUGGACCCUUCUUCUUCAUAACCCGGAAGAAAGGCAGGGCACGCUCGCCCAGCCUGGAGAUGAAGCGUCCCAGCACGGCAACGCAGCCGUUGAGGCGCUGGACAUCUUUCACCCUGCGGGCGGCCUCCAUCUUCUCGAUGGCUUCUAUUUUGGUCGGGUUGGCCUAUAUCCCCCGGUGUGAAACCAAGAAACCCAGAAGCUGCCCGGAGUUGACACCGAAGGUGCACUUAUCAGGGUUCAGCUUGAGCUUGAUCCUGCGGAGGUUGUCAAAUGUCUCCCGCAGGUCAUCAAUCAGCGAGUCCCUACGCUUCGAUUUGAUGACGAUGUCAUCCAUGUAGGCCUCCGCGUUGCGGCCUAGCUGGGGCCCCAAACAUUCUCGCAAGGCGCGCUGGAAUGUGGAGCCCGCGUUCUUCAACCUGAAAGGCAUGCAUGUAUAGCAGCAGCAGCCAACCGGGGUGAUAAAAGCUGUCUUUUCCUCAUCCUCGACCGCCAUCUUGAUUUGAUGGUAGCUGGAGAAAGCAUCCAGAAAAUUCCACAGGUCACAACCAGCGGUAGAAUCAACUAUCUGGUCGAUACGGGGUACAGCGAAGGGAUCCUUGGGGCAUGCACGAUUAAGAUCGGUAAAAUCUACGCACAUGCGAAUCUUAUUCCCUGCUUUGGGCACUACUACAGGGUUAGCCAGCCAAGUGGGGUACAAAACUUCCCUGAUCGCCCCGACAGCCCUGAGCUUGCCCACCUCUUGCUUGAUGAAAUCUUUCCGCUCUUGUGCCUGUCGGCGGAUCUUUUGCUUGACGGGGUGCGCGUCUAGGCGCACCGCGAGCCGAUGCUCAAUCACCUCCCUGGGGACUCCGGGAAGGUCCGACGGUUCCGAGGCGAACACGUCGGCGUUUUUCUGGAGGAAGGUGACGAGAGCGCUUUCCUAUUCGGCGGUCAGGUUCGCACCGACGGUAACGGUGCGUUCCUUGUCGCCGGCUUGGAGGGGCAGCUUCUUCACUUUGGCGGCCUCCUCCUGGAGUCCCUGCCCCUUGCCAGGGCGCGAGCUCAAGCCUGCGCCUCCCCCGGCUACCAGGCCCCGCUGAGGAGGGGGAGGGUUCUCCCCCUGUCGCGAGGCGGGCAGCGCGCCUUCGCGCUCUAAGUUCGGCCCGUGGCCGGAGCCUACCGGGGCGCCUUGGCCUUGCGGCUGCUAGGCGGCCAGGGCGAGAAGCGCUUCCAACUCCUCGCCCCACGUCUCGUGCGCCGGCGUACCCUGUUGCGGCUCGUACCGCACCAUGACGCACGCAGCGACGAUGGCUUUAGCCGGGGUUCGCACGGGGGGCAACCGGUUUCCUGAACGGCUGCUUCCCGCCCUGGCCCCGGACGCCUCCGGGUGCGCAGGGUGCGAACCUCCAGGGGUCGCCCGUGACGCGGCGUGCUCCGGGUGCCGCUGCCGCGGGGCACUCUCGGGUCGCGACUCCACCCGUUGGCUGUCCCGGGCAACGCCAUGCGUGCUCGCCCGACUGCCCCCGCCGCUGGGGGCAGCCGGUCCCCUCGGCCGAUUGUCGGUCGACGGUCGGGGAGGCGGUGGAGCCAGCUGCAUUUGCUGCACCCUCGAGGGCUCGGGAUUCUCUUGAGCUCUCGACUCGGGUCGCACGUCGUGCGACCGCGUGUGCGCCGCUGGGGCCUCACGCGGGUCUAUGCGUGAAUCACCAGCCCGCUUGGGGGGCAUGGUGGCAAGGCUCGUCGACGAAGGAGAGUGAAGCCGAUGCCGAUGGGAACUUCUGCUGCCGGCGAUCUCCGGUGCUGUCUACUCCCGCGCCCCCAACCUGGCGCGCCAGAUGUCGUCGCCCGGUGCUUCGACACCGGGGGCGUGCAGCCACGUCCCCCUUUUAGGUUCGGUAGGGACGUCUGGGGCGGAGACCCGGUUAUCGCCGGCACGGCCGAUGAGGCCCUAUGGGGCCGGUGAGACCAAGUGCCAAGUGGGCGUGCUAGCACCAAAACAAAUGCACACCCGUUUUUAUCCAGGUUCGGGCCACCCGGAGGUGUAAAACCCUACAUCCUGCCUGUCUGAACUGAUAUUGAUUGCGGAUCAAGCAUUUACAAGUUUUUGCCAGGCCAGUUCCCGGGCUUCCUCUCAAUGGCUAAUUACUCCUUACUAUUCUCUGCUGUCCACCGGAACCAACUGACCAACUCACUACCCUCCCAACUGUCUGACCCGUCAACCGUCUAACCCCCUUGACCGCUGGCAUGCGUCCUCCUUUUAUACACAAGGGAUGCCACAUGUGCCACGGUGCAUGGGCUACAAGUGUCCAACGGGGAGGCACGCAACUCUCUCUCGUGAGCUGGUGGCAUGCAUGGGUGCCACCUCCGCUGCUAGGGGCCUAAGACCCUAGGGUAGGAUUGGACAACCACUGUUCCUUGGAUCGGACGGGUAACUACCCGUUGGUCGGCUCGUUUACUGAGCCGCGCGGCUUACUCCUUGCCUUGGUGGGACCGCGCGUUCCGCGCCCGCCACGCGCCCGUGCGGCGCUGUCUAGUGGGCCCCACGACCCGAGGCGGGGGCACGCGUCCGGGAACCCCCAGUCCCCGCAAGUUGGUCCGGGAAGCACCCGGGCCCAGCGCACCCGGGAACCUCCUUCCGGGAAGCAGCUUCCCGGGAGGUGCCUAAGCGGGAAUAUUCCCCGAAGCCCCGCUAGCCCCUUUCGGGCUGGUAGCUUGCCGGGAAGCUCGUCGGUGCUCCCCGGGAUGAGACCUUCCCAGGAACCCGGGGGAGGGGCCCACGCGUCGCGGAGCGGUGGUAUCCCGGGUGCCACUGGUGCGACAGCGGCAAAGGCGAGGCUUUGAUCAGUGCAAAUAUAGAGGUUUUUGUUUGUCGGUUCUCCACAGGGAAUGAGUUUCAAGUUCCAACAAAUUCUCAAAGCUCGCCUCACAGAUUUUAGUUGUUUGCAAAGUUUCAGAACUGCAAUAAGAUUACAACUACAACAACAACUAAAUUUUGAUUGUUUUUGAUUUUUGAAACUGCAGGAUUAACACAAACUGAAGUAAAAUAAAGAACUACAACAAGCAAAUUACCAAGACAUGGAUAAAGCAAGUUGUUUUAGACAGGGAAGAGCAUAGAUCAGAGGGAAAACGGCAAGAUCUAAACAUCACAGCAACUACAAACUGAACUGAAACAGAUUACUACACGAGAACUGAAUUCACAACUAGAACAAGAACUAGAGAAGCAAUUAUCACAGAUCUUAGCACAUAAACACAAAUCAAGCGCUAAUUCUCAGGGUAAGGGAAGAUUACAGCUAGGGUUUCAGGUUUCAUCUUAUACAGCAAGGGAAACAAGAAGUACACAGGGAAGAUCUAGAGCUAUUCAACAGUUCACAGCAAAGGAAGCAAAGAUCAAGACAGGGAAGAGGUGGAGUCGUCACCGAUGAAACCCUAGAGCUCGUCGUCGAUUUGCUGGUGAAGGGGAAGCAAGGAGCAGACGGGGAAGAAGCAGAUCUUCAGGUCUUCGUCGCAAGGAGCAGCACGUCUCCACCUUCCAUGGCCUCCUCUCUCCCCUCCCUCCUCUCUUCCUUUGGUUCUUCUCUUCUUUUCCCUCUCGCCCAGCAAGCAGCCCUAGAGCAGCAAGCCAGAGAACCAGCCAGAGAGCCCCCUCUCAGGAGAUGCUCCUAGAUAUUUCGCUGGGAAGGCAUUUUUGCAUGCAAGCCCUCAAGCUUUUCUCCAUUUUGCUCAGGAAGGGGCGAUGGCCACCUAUAAGUAGAUUUUCCCGCGAUUGCAGGGUUUCCAUCUCCAGGCAAGCCGCCGCUCAGAUGGCCAGAUCCAAUCCCCACCUUCUCUCCUCCGCCGCUCCGCGUCCACUCUCCCCGAUCCCCACCUUCCGGAUCUCUCCAUGGACUCGUUCUCCGCCCAAGAGUUGCUCAAGAUCCCUCCGCCUAUCUCUCUCCACUCCGAUUAUGAUCCGGGCUCUCCUCCUGGGUCGAUCCUCCUCGACCCGUACGGCUACCUCAGCUCUCGCACCAACGGCACCACCGCCGGGGCCUUCACGAGGGACGGCCGGACCAUCCUGGUCACCUUCUGGGUCGCCAGCCCGCCGCGCGCCUCCUACUUCACUUUCGAUUGCUGCGACUUCCAGCCCUCCAUGAACGGCAACUUGCCCAAGGCCGUCUACUCGGAGGACGACCUCGUCCUGUUCCGUUUUCCCAUCGUCACCAUCAGCCGUCGAGACGAAGACCAAUGUCCCCUCUACAGCGAGGACAACCACUACUUCGUCUACCAGGCCGGCACCAAGAACAGGCUGCCGUCACUUCAUCUGGUAGCCGUCCCGCACCACGUAGAGUUCGGUGACCGCGGCGCUGUGCUUCUGCGUUGCCGCGACCAAGAUAUGUUCUACCUCGCCCUGCUUCACAGGGUCUACGGUUUUAAUUACGACGACGACGAGCAGUAUGAUCUCCACCUGUAUAACUCCAAGACAGGAGGAUGGAACACCAAGUUGACGCAUAUCGAUUAUUCACCGAAAGAGUAUUUCGAAUUUGCAUAUCCAAACGCUGUGCUUACCAUAGGAGGUGAGUCAGGUUCAGUGGCCUGGGUCAACCUCUGGCGGGGCAUCCUUAUCUGUCACCUUCUUCUCCCGGACAACCAUAUUCUUCGCUACAUCCCACUACCGGUGCCCAAGCCGCCCGGGGGUUUUGCCCUCUAUUCUCGGAACAUGAUGGUUUUUGGAGAUCACAUCAAGUUUUUGGAGAUGUUCAGACCAAGCUGUGACUCUGGACGCACCUGUGGCACUCAAGAUUUGGUGGCUGCAAGAAAGAAAAUGAAAAUUUCAGACAUUGGUUCUGGGAACAUCUGGGAGGAGGACUGUGCUGUCAAUAUUUCUGAGAUCCCAGUGGAGAGCCUGGAGUUUGCCCAAAUGCUGCCUAGUCUGAAACAGGUUACAGAUACAAAGGUAACCUUGAAGAGACUCCACGCAGGUUACCCUGCCCUGAGCUUCCAGGAUGCUGAUGUUGUUUACAUCAUGCAAACACCUGUCCCUGAUGAGGACAAGGCAGUGAUGAUUGCAGUUGAUAUGAAGAACAAGACUAUAAAAGAUGUGGCUUAUUUUGGUUCUGGAAGGUAUAUUAGUUA
rnacentral:lncRNA from 1 species